AUAAUUAACGUGCAAAAGUAUGUUGCCUCGCCAUUUGAAUCUCAGAGAGAAAGGAAAAUACUUGAUAUCUUAUCUUCUUUAUCAAAAUGAAUAUAACACUGAAUUUUAACUCGGAAAUUAUUAAUAUUCUGCUAUAGAUGAUUCUGCAUUCUUUGUAAAUUAGUAAGACAGGUGCAGAGAAGCCAUCUUCUAUUUCAGGUAUUGUUAAGAUCUCUCCUUUUUUUCCCUAAUUCAUUUCACAUCUGUGGUCCCAGAGGUAGCCUUCUCAUUAUCUGCUCAUAAACUGAUUGUGUAUUCCCAUUCAACAUCGGUAAUCCGGACCCUGCCACAGGCUCCUUUAGUUCUCCUUUUGGUAUCAUAAACCCGGAUUCCAUCGUUGGGCGAUGACCUAGAAAUGCGUGAACCGCUAUCGGCGGUGGCGGCAGGAGAACUGGAACCUUCAUUGCGGCCACCGGCCCAAGCCCUGCCAUUGCAGCCAUCGAGAGGUUCGCUAAGCCCGAUUGGCCCAGCCCAAAGGAGAAGCUGCCCACGGGCCCUAGAUGAUCUCUCGGGGGGAGGCUCAACAAGCCUAGAGGCAAAUUGAACCGCACCAAACCAUCUUGCAUCGGCUCAGGCCGGCGGUGGAGGCUGUGGGAUUGGGAUGGUGAUGCGGCUGCAGAGCCGGGACUGGAGUUCUGGUGGCCGCUGCUUCUCGCAGCCGGAACUUCAUGGUUGUGCUUCCCCUCGUAUGUCGUGAUCACAGAUUUGAGAUCGUGCGACGCUCUCUCCACGUGCUUUCGGACGGAGCAGCCCGGGUGCGUGCACUUGUAGUAGCUCCUGCAUUAAGAAUAAUUUAUAUUUAUAUAUUCUUUUUUCAACCGCCAGACAGUAUUCUCAACUAGAAAAAAAGCUAAAGAGAGGAUUCUGGCUACCAAACAAGUUCAGAAUAAUUUCUCCAAGUAGAAAGGUGAGUUUAUGAUUCGAACCCAUAAUGCUGAGGAAAACUGUGAUAGAAUGUUUAGACUUACCUAGGAUUUGGAUUUCCCUUGACCACUUUUUGCCCGUACUUGCGCCAACGAUACCCGUCGUCGAGGAUGUCAACAUCACUAGUUGUCUGAACCACAACCCUCGGUUCCCGUACCGCCCUGGAAGCGCCGCCCAUUUCAAAGGCACAUGCAUCUAGCUUCCUACAAGAUGCAAAAUCUGACGAAUCUUAGUAAUGUAACCAACAAAUAUUUGACAUGAAACCGUUUGUUUAAAUCGAACAUCGAAUAUUAUAACCUUCUUUUCGAUUCAUUCUCUUCCUCCUCGGCAUCUUGACCCACAAGCACAUCGCCAUUAGUCGCGCCGUCAUCCUCAUCCUCGUUAUCAUCAUUGGAAAGCGUGGACGAGACGUCGAUCGCAUCAGAAGGAUCGCCGAACUCUGCAGCAGCUAAUGAUGUGGCCUCUAUGCCAUCACCUUGCCAAUCUUGAGCAUUUCUGUUUUGUGCAACAUCACCUUGCCAAUCUUGGGCAUUUCCGUUCUGGGAAGGCGGAGCGCCGGUGCGGCGACUCGAGGACGGUUUCGGGUGGUUGUGUUUUCCCCUGUAGAUUAUCUCCGUUAUAUGGCCUUCGUGAGAGCGCUCUACCUUCUUCUUCACUGAGCAAUUCGGGUGAGUACACUUAUAAUAACUUCGCGGAAACUCGCUAUGUUUAACUUGUUUUUGUCCAUAUUUCCUCCAAUUAUACCCGUCCUCGGCCGGUGUACCCACGGCUUGCGACGAGUUCUCUCCUUGUGGAUCGGCUUCUCCUCCAUCUUGUUGGUUGUCGUUGGGCGGUGAAGAACUGUUCAACUCUUGCUGACUCUGAUUUUUCGGAAUUUCGAUAUCUUGGCCUACAUGAACGUUGUUUUCUUCUAAGCUCGGUGAGAUUGGCAGAUAAUUCAUAACCGGACUAUCCUGGAACUUACAUCAAUAUACAGUGAGGCAAAUAAUUUACAACCUGAGUAUCCUCAAAGAUGCUACAUAUUGACUCAGAAUAAAAUGAAAAAAUGUAUGUUACCAGAUAUUUACAUAACUGAGAGGUAUGCAAGUUAGAAAUCUACAGAAUUUUUGGAUAAGAACGCAGCAAAUUAAGCUGAAUUAAGAACUCUUAUUCUGCAAGUAUCGAUCCUAAUAUCUCUUUCAUUUUAUUUACCGUGGAAAGAAUUGUACUUCAGUACAUUUUAACUCAUCAUGCAAUUAGAAUUAGUAACAGGUUAAUGCAAAAUGGUUUCCUGGACCUUCCUGGUAAGUAAAUAAAUAAUGCUUAAUAACACCCUCAUUUGUAUGCUAUAAAAUACGAACUGGAAAGAAACUAUUCAAUGGCAUGCUUAAACACACCACACACAUGAUGUUUUUCAGUUUCAACCAACAAUUUCACAGAUUUUUGUCGCAUAAAUAAUGAUUAGUAGGUAGGGCGAGCGAACUCCAAGCAAAAUUACCGUGUUUUCUGCGCUUGAAAGAUAAGCGGGUUUCGACUCGAGAGGCGGCUUGAAGGCGAAUUCCUCGGGAACAUCUUCAAGUGGUUCAUCUUCGAUUUCGUCAGGAAGCGAUAUCGUCAUCGAGUUAGAAUUGCAAUUCUGUAAGAACGAAAAUUUGCCCGUAGUCGGGGAAGGCUGACCCUACAGAAAAUAACAAACAGUUAAAAGAGUCUAAGCAAUGCAACAUAGAAAGCGACAAGUAAAGGUUGAUCUUCUGGUUGAUUAGUUCAAAUGAUACACCCAAAUUUCUGGGCAGGUAAUGUUCUGUGCAAGUAAAAUGCCAACAUGUAGUGUUUAGGAUGUCAUCAUCAUCACAAUGAACUCAAGUUGGUUUCUCUCAGAAGUUAAACAAAUUUAGAGCUUCCUCUCAUGCUUGCACAAACACUACAACAUGAUAGUAUCUAAUAACAUGAAGUGAGACCGCAUACCAGGGAAUUAGAGAGAAAAACCGGAGAUUCCAACAAUGUCGUCGGACUGAGACCGGGCGGAAUCGUCAGGUAAGGAGAUUGAACCUCUGCAGACGAGCUAACUACAUUCGUCGGAAAUGUCCGAGACAUAUUGAGCUUCGGUAAAUUAAGCCCGGCUCUCGCCGCCAUUCUCUCAGAAAGACCGCCGUUUGUGUUCGGUUUCUGGAAAUUAAAUAUAUUCGGUUGCAGAGGAAGAUUGUUGAAGAAUUGCGCCUUCGGCUGGCGAGCCUCUUCUUCCUUCGGACUCGCGACCAUUUGUUGAUCUUCAGAUCCAUGAACAUCAUCUCCAUUACUUCCAUUCUCUUGUAAUGGAUCGGGGAAUGGUUUUGAACCAAAAUUCUCAUUCAAAAAGUUUGAAAUUAGUGUUCUUGGGCUCGGAUUUGGCGUCCAGUCGCCGAUCACGGCGAGGCAAUCAUUUGCCUCGGCCAUGAUCGUGUCCAAAUUGGCUUUUGUGUUUUCAGUGCAGCAUCGGCCUACAUUUCGACCCAAUUGAAGAUUAUUAACUCAAAUGCAUCGAACGUAAAAGUAACUAGAAAUGAUAAAAGGAAACCAUUUAUCAGAAUAGGAACAGGAACCAACCAAAAAAAACCUCACCUUGAUCCGAAGAACACCAAAUUAACGCUCUGAGGAUCCAAAUCUGAGCAAAAGUAGUGCAAAAAUUUGAAAUUUACCGUGCAAAUUCCAGAGAAUUGUAGAAACCAAACUGAUCAAAACCAUAAAAAAGCAUCAAUCCAAGAAUCAAAAGUGUGGCUCAAAAUCACAUUUUUAACACAACCUGCCCAUUUCUACGACAUACAACAACAAAAUCAGAUAAAAAAGACACCAAAUUCUAAAAGAAGAAAAUCAAAAAAGGAAGAAACCCACGAACAGAAACCAACCAAGCAAAUAGGGGGGGAAAAAAAAAAGUAACAAACAAAAGGGCCCAAAAAUAAGCAGUGUAAAAGAAGAGAAACAAACCCAAUUGCAUGUAACAGCUUAACAGGUCACAGAAGCGCCUCAGAACCAAUGAUUGGCCUCCUCUGAGCUUCUAUUAUGGGAAAUAGAGACAGUGGGAUUUAGAGAGAGAAAGAGAAAGCAAUGUAGAGAGAUAGAUAGAGAGAGAGAGAGACAAGGAUCAGAGACACAAAUCAUGAGGUGAUUUUGGGAAAUGGAAAAUUCCCACAAUUUUUAUGCUAUGCUCUUUCUCUUUAGUUUACAGAGAGAGAGAGAGAGAGAGAGGGGGUGGUUUGACCGAGGAGAGAGAAAUAAAAAAAAAAAAGAUUCAUUGUAAGUGAGAGAGUGAGUGAGAGAGAGAGAGAGAGAGUUCAUGGCGAGGUUGCUCCUCUUUUAUCUCCUGCUUUUGCCCUUUUAAUUUAUUUAAUUUAAUUUCCUUUGUUGGUAUUCGUUUAUUAAAGUUUUUUUAAAAAAAAUAUUUCGGGUAGAAUGUAUGGGCAGUCCCCGUGCUCUUCCCAUAUUGCAACUUCCUUCUUAUACUUUAAAAAUGCUUUAAAAAAUUGUAAUGAUGAACACCACUACAGGUCUCCAAAAAUGGAACACUCCUUGAGCGCACCUCACUGUUCAAAAUUUUUCGUCCGGAGAUCCACGGAGUAAAUGUUAAGUUGUGUAACGCGUAGAAAAAUUUAAUUGGCUGUUUUAUAAAUUUGUCAAUAUGUUAAUAAUAUUUUACUAGAUCUUCAAUAAAAAAUUAAAAUACUUUUAUUAAUAACAGAUAUUGUACUAUAUAUUAAUUAUCAGUCGAAAGUUAUAAUUUGUUAUAAAAAUUAUAACUUAAUCUUGUUUGAUGUAAUUAAGCAUGAAUGAGUGAGUUAUUAUAUGAAAAAUUAUUUAAAAAAGUGUAAGGAUAAAAGUGUAAAACGUACCAAAAUUCAAGCACUUAUUAUUGAGAACCUAAGACAGAAUAUUGGAAUCGUUGAGGGACUUACGCGUACAAUUCAAUAAUUUAACCUUCGCUGACAUGUGGGCCCCAGGAAAAGCCGUUCUAUGUAACGGUUGCACCGAGGACUGGGUCGGAGGGGGCGAAGGGUAUCGGGCACAGUGAGCCAUGGCAGCGUGCCACGUGGAGAAUUUUGGACCGUUCGCGGGCAGGGAACCCGAAUCAAAAGGAACGGCCUCACGCGGUUACUGCGUGCAUGGACGGCCCCUGAUGUACCAGCUGUUGUCGAGCAUCUCCCCAAUUUGUUAACUUGGAUGCGAGGUCUGCCACGUGGGAGGCACACGUAAGCUAACCGUUGGCUGGUAAAUUGCACCCUACUCCCCCAACUUCUAGUCGUGUUCACCUCCACUGUGUGUUUCUCUCACUGAGUUUCAGCCGUAAAUAUUUAUAUUUACGUAACUUUUAACUCAAACUUAGACCGAAAUUAAUUAUUAAAAAAUAAUAAUAAUAAAAUAUUAACUAUCUCUUAAUACUUUUAAUUUAUACAUCAUUCACUUUUGUCAAAUAAGUAGCAGAACUAAAAAACUUCAAUUUUACCGCUGUACAAAUAAACAGCAGAAAAAAAUAAUUUUUAUCUAAUCUCUAGUUUAUCCAAAAAUUAUUUUAUUUUGAACUUCAUUUUUGGUGAACGGAAAGGCUCCCCUAAAAUAUUUUUUAUAACUGUUUUGUUUUAGUCCUUAAAACUUUAUGACAUAUUUAAGCAUCUCUAAAAAAAGAAUAAAUUGCACCUUUGAACUCUUUAAAAUUAUUUACUAAACUUUUUAUAAAAAUUUAUAGAUUUUUAAUUCUUUUUAAGAGCUUAGUUUUCGUGUAUGCGCGUGUGAGCGUGUAGUAGCCCCUUAAAAAACUAGCAUCGCUUCAAAAACACCUUUUUGAAAGAACAUUUUUAAUUGAAGAGAGUUUUCUUGUAAUGUUAUGAAUUAUUUGCACGUACAAAAAACUGAAUUAAUAUUUAGUUAUUUAGUGUUCAAAAAAUAAUUACACGCACUAUCGAAAUGUACGGCGCUGAAAUAAUAAGUAUUUACCAACUUUUGUAGAUAAUGUUAUAAUGUACUGUUUCAAAAAUAAGAAGCACUAGUACGGACCAUCAAUUAAUAUGUAUUAUUAUAGAUCUCUAUAUUGACUAUGAUAAUUUUUCUCAACAUAUGAACUAGGGUAGAAUUCUAUUAAUAGCACCGAGUCUUUGGUAUUAUUAAAUUUUCGGCCCUUAAAUGAAUGGGUGGUUGAUUGGAUAGUACGAUCUAAUUGGUGAAAAUGAUCAAAAGAGUAGAUCAAACAGUAAAAAAUUUGGUAGCACAAAGUGUUUAAUGCUAUCGGUAGCAUUAUAGUCGAGCUCCUCAACAUAUAUAAUAGAGUGAGAAAAGAUAUAAUUCUAGUUAUCUUUUAUCUACACAUAUACAGUCAAAAUAUCGUUGUUGUUUGCCUAAGUUUUUAAAGAUAAAUGGUUAUCUCAUAUAGUACCACAUAUUAAAAGAUUGUGAGCUUAAAUUCUAUUAGGCUCCGACCUUAUAGUUCCUGAUGAGCAAGCUCAAUUACAUUUUUUUGAAACAAAAAUAUAUUAUUUUCGAUCGAUUACAACGGCUAUCUAUGUCUUUUGAGCCAAUUAGUAUAAUUGGUUAAUAAAUGAGCCUCGUGAGGUCAACUUUGGCACAUGAGAGAUGUAGAGAGUUUGUUUAAUAGUUCUUAAUUACUAGUUGUUAAUAAAAAAAAAUUGUGGGUUAAUUUUGAAUAAACUAUUUGCCCAUGUUGGUGGAAACAAGGGCAAACUUUUUGAAUAGGGAAAUUUUGAUUGGGUGAAGCUCAUAAGUUAUGAAAUGGAAGAUUCUUUGCUUUAGUUUGGAUUUGAUUUUCAAUUUUUGAAGUUAAGCUAGAUAGAAUAUAUGAUGCUAUGGGAACCAUGCAAGCUACUUGAUAAAUAAAUAAAUAAAUAAAUAUAGUUCGUGUAAGGGAUGUGGACAUGCGUAUGUAUGGAAUUUGAUUAAUUUCCCUUAAUCAAUGCCAAGUGAUCAUCUCUUGGCAUUAAAGGAAAAUAGUUGUCUCAUGAGUCCUACUCGUGCACUCUUUUUAAAGCCUAAAUCUAAUACUUAUUUUAUUUUAUUCUGCACAUCGAACAAUAAUACGCAUGAUCGAAAAUCUUCUGAUGCCAUAUGCGCUGCGUGAUCUAGAACGUUUUACGCCAUUUUAAAAAUACUUCAACCAAUGUAUUUGUAAUUUAGUGGGGAAUCUCUUUAAAAAUUUCAAAGCACUCCCCAAUUCAAAAUGAAUUGAGAUUCUCUCCUUGCAAUGGAAUCAAGUAGUUGAGGAUGAAAAUAAAGAGGGGAAAAAAAGGAUUGUGAGUGUAAAUGUCCUCUCUCGAAUCAAAGUUUCAUUUGUUAAGCAUGAAAAAUAUUUUGAUUUUCUUGUCAAAUUGGUUUUUUUUUUUUCCUUGCCAAAAGAGUGGCUAGCAUCCUGUGAAUUUCUUGUGGGGCCUAUAUAUUGAAAGAUACAAAUAGGGGUCAUAUGCUACAUUACAUAGUUCAUGUGGGUUCCCACCCCCUAGUAUACGUGACUAAAGAUUAAUGUUAUGGGCGCAACGAAAGGUCCCCUAAAAUGCUGUUCAUUUGUCAGCUUUACAAAAUGGCAGGAUAAUAGGGUGUUGAUUGUUCCGUCUUUAUAUCAUACUCGAAUUCAUGUCGCAUUUGAAUCCAACUGAUGUCUAAAGAAGCACCUUGGUGUAGCUUUUGAGGUAUUGUAACACUACUCACAGAGACAAAAAAAAAGGUGUACACUUUAUCAACUAGAUUAGAACUUAAAAGCUCCUCCAUUCAAAGAGACCAAUACCAAACUUUGUGCCGCACAACUUUUGCUAAUCAUUCUUUUUAAAGUUCAUCAUGGAAUCAGAUACUAUCUAUCUUUUUGACUGGUACCAGUUUGGUUACUAUUCUAAUGGAGGUUAACAAAGUUGUGGCAAAUAAGUAGGGGAGCAAGAACACACACUUUUUAGUGUAAGUACUUGAAAUAAUCUUUACAGAGUACUUACUAAAACUUGAAACCCGGACCAUUGGAAUUUAACACAAUUAACUGGAGAUUCUUCAAAAUGUGAGGACCCUACUAUAACCCAAGUUCCAAUAUUUGUUCAUCAUUUAUUUGUGUGUGUGUGUGUGUGUGUGUGUGUGUGUGUGUGUGUGUGUGUGUGUGAGAGAGAGAGAGAGAGAGAGAGAGAGAGAGAGAGAGAGGGAGAGAGGAUGUGGUCCUUUUGAGAGGAGAGAGAGAGAGAGAGGGGGUGGUACAAUACUUUGUAAUGGGCAUGACCCAACUGAGGACCACCUAAAAGAUGUACUAGGUGCAAUGCAUAAUGGAUGAGGGUUCAACCAAGUGAAGAGGGGAUCGAGGCGCAAAUUCUCUACAAUCCUUGUGUGUAGAAAAUUCCUACAUACUAAUAAUAUGAUCGCUCAUUUGAAGUUCGGGGACAUCUCAACUGUCCAUGAAUCCGAGAUGAGCUCCACCUUCAGAAUGACGGCUGGAUUAACUAGUAUACAGGAAUUUCCUUCGCACUGAAUUUGUAGAAAAUCCAUGCCCCGGGAAACAGCCUUUUCUUUCCUAUUUUAGAAAGCCUUUUCUUUUCAGUUGCACGCAGAAGCCCACGCAGUUUUAUGGGCCACUAAGUACCUCUCUUGCAUUAGCCCAGCGAGCCCAGGAUCACAUAUUAUGUGAGUCUCAUGGUUAAUUUUAAUCUGGGAUUUUGAAUACUCCGUAACUUCUUCAAACUGUAGAGAAAAUUUUUCUCCAUUGACCGGAAAUUUAAUUUAAACUUAAAUCUGGAACUGUUAAAGAUUUUAUCGCAAAUAGAGAAAGUUUGAGAAUGUUGUUUCAAUUUCCAACAAAGAAUACAUCGUGGGCUCCCCUAAAAAAAAAAAAAAAAAGGUUUACAUACAAAUUGCUUCUCUACAAAGCUGCAGGUUUUUUAUUUUUAUUUUUCUGGGGAAGCAAAAGAAGAAAUGUCUGAGAUCUAGUGUUUUGAGUAAUACUCUUAAACAUUAUUGAUAGGACAUCGAACGAUGACAAUUGCUCUCGUCUUCAAAAUCUACCUCUAAAAUUUCCUACUCAAACAAUGUCAUUGCCAUCUAGGGCAAUACACAAAUGUACAGACACAUAAUAUUACUCAUUAUCAUUGAUCUUUCUCUCGAGAUACUUGCUACCGCGAGCUUGGAAGUGCGGUGUUUUAGCAUGCCAAAACUGGCCAUCGGGGUCGAACUUCACUUCGCCAACAUCUACUUCAGCAAGAUUCCCUCCGCAGAUGUUCAUUCGUAGUCCCUUCAAGCAUAACAACAAAACAAUUUAAGUAAAUAGAGUAAAUCUUGUUAAGAGGCAGCUUUGGCACGUGAACUGAAUCAUAACUGGACAAUCAACUCUGUACUCGAGCAUAACAAAAAGCAAUACUGGAUAUAUCGAGUGUGUUUGAGGUUUGAAUAAGAAACUGUAACAUUUGACCGCUAAACUGUAAUGUGUAGUAUGAGCUGGCGGUUCAGCAUCAGAAACACAAGAAGAUAGCUAGAAUAUAAUUACAUCAACAUGCAUCAAUGAAGCACAGAUAUAAUUUUUAGAGUUGUCCAAAACCUUGCAGAGUUUUUCUGAUGUGAGAAAUUGUAAAAACUGUAUUGUUUCUAUGGAAAGGAGAACAAAUAUCCACAUACAGGAACACAUAGUAUGAAUAAUACUGUGAUGGUGGCAACAAGAAAAGAAAACUCAACAACACUAUAUUUAGUGAAUGAAUCUGUGCAAUAAGAAUGAAAAGCCCUUGUAGAAACUUACAACGAUGCUCUUGCAAUUGGCUGUAGUAUCAAUACUCUCUCUCUGUGUGGCUUGCUUUAAUAGGAUGUCAGGAGCACUUUAAAAAUCAAGAUCAGCGCCCUCUCCAGCAUCCAAUCAAGCUUCUUCUCCAUGCAUAGAACCGAAUGAAGUUGAUGAAAUUCAUCAUUCACUGUGGAGUUAGAAACAAAAAUCAUGAGCCACAAUCAAUUCAGUUUCCGCAUCCUUCCAACAGACAAUAUGUCCUCGAAGGCCUUCAUAUCAUUAGCCGAAUAUGAAGGUACUCUUCCCCUGACCAACUUCAUAACUUCCCUAGCAUUCCGGUCCUUUGAUAUUUUAACGAGGCCUUUUAGCAGUCUGCAAAUUGUAUCGACACUCGGAAACCAAUUCCUCUCCAUGCUAUCCUUGCACAACCUAAAUGCCAGGUCAAACUCUUUUCCUUUGCAGAGGUAAUGAACCAUCGUUUGGUAUAUCUUGCUGUUCGGUUUGCACCCUCUCCCAUGCGUAGCAUAAAAGACCCUCUUCGCCAUUUCGAGCUCGCCCAUCAUGAAGAACCCUUUAAUAAUAAGAUUAUACGUCACUUCAUCUGGUUUGAUACCGGAAACAUACAUGCUACGCACUAAAUCAUUUGCUUGCCAGGUCCUCCUCCUAUUAACCAAGUAUUGAAUUCUGACAUUGUAAGUAGCAAGAUUCGGUGAACACCCCCUAAGUUUCAUGAGAUUCCAGAGCCCGUCACCAAUUUCAUGCCGACCAUGCUUAUAGAAUGCCGAAAUGAGAGUGGUAUAUGUAACGACAUCAGGUUUUGGCUCUGCCUUUUGCAUCGCUAGCAUGACCAAGUAAGCGGUAUCCAAACGGCCCAUUUCACACAUAGCCUUGAUAAUGGUAUUGUACGAAAUCUUAUCCAAUUCAAUCCCAUACUUGGCAGGAGCUUCGUCGAAAAAGAUCUGGAUAUCGUCAAACCUUCGGGCUUGAGAUAAGACCUUGAGUGUGGCAUUGAAAGACUUUGCUGUCCGUGUGCAUCCAUACAGAGGCAUUUCGUCGAACGUCCGGAGAGCAUGGUCGGGCAUUCCAGCUCUACCAUACAGCGAUAUGAUCCGAACUACGAAUCCCUCACGACGGCCCUGAGGAAGGGUCUUUUGGUGCUCUAGAAGGUUCUCUACAAGGUCGAAGCGGCGGGCUCCGGCAAGACGGGACACCGUAUCCUCAAACGCAAAGCGAUUCUCGACUACGAGCCUAUUAUGCGCAUUUGCCUUGAAGAGGUGGAAGAGCCUCUCGGGAUCCUUCUCCGCCUUGAUCUUCAAAAGUGCAGGCUGGUCAACACCCGGUGGUUUACGAUCCAAAUCCUCUGCCGAGGAGAUUUGCUGAUCGAAUUCGGAAUUCGGGCUCGAUCGAUUCCUCAAGACGGCGGCUUUGCAAGCGGCGAUGGUCGGGAAGUUCUCCGGGCAAUGAUUCGACGCGUUAGCGUAGACAGCGAAAUCGGUUUUUGUUCUUGAUUUCGAAAUGCCGGCGGCAAUGCAGGUGAUAGCGAACGCAUCGACCGCGGCGCAGAGCCUGCGAAGCGUUUGCAGAGAGAGCAUGAUCCAAAACCCUAUCUUUUCCUUUCGAUCACACUAUGCAACCCACGCCGCCAUUUAGGAAUUUAAUCAAACACAAUGCUUGCAACAUGAUAUGUUAAAAAAAGGAGUAACAAUGUCAAAUUAAUCCAUUUUGACCACCACAAAAAGGGUUUUGAUUGCUAUUAACAAAACAAAAUCAGUUCGGAAAAAAAUAAAACAAAUAUAUGAAUAAGGGUAAAUUCGGAUCAAUAAAACCCUACAAAAGAAGAGAAACAAGAGAUUUGAGAUGAAAUGGGGAACAAAGAAAUGGAGAAAAAUUGGAGAUUGAACCCUAGCAAGCUCUCGAUUCUUGAGAACCAGUGGAUUGCGAGCUUCUUGUAGGUAUGAAUCCAAGAGAGAAUCGUGGGAUUUUAGGGUUUGGAGUCUUUUUAUUUCUAUAUUUUUAUUUUUUGGUUUCUUACACAGAGAAAUCGACCAGCAUCGGAAAAGAAUGUGAGAGGAAGUACGAGGCUGUGAGUCUUCCACAGCAACGGCCCGCGUGGAAGAGCCCAAAAUACAAAUGCAAAACAAAUAAAAAUUCGAAUACAUUGAAAAUUUUGUGCGAUUUUAAAUACUCUACAAACAGUUAGAGAUAUCAAAUAAUAUGUAUAAAUUAAUUUUUUUUAUAACGAUAUAAAUAUAACUGUUAAACUACAAGUGCGUUAAACUUACCCAAGUGUUUCAUCUUCGACCCUUCCAUCAUCCCUAAUUUGGGCUUAUUAUUGGGCUGGAUCUUAAUUGGGCCAAAGUGUGGCCCAAAUUCUUGGGUCUCGCAUUGAACCGGGCCUGGACUUUGGGGCAAAUUAUUUCCCUAGCGAAGUUUCCAUUAGUUAAAAAAGUAAUAAUUAUCAAUCAUUUCAAUGACAAAGAGCUUAAUAGUUAGCAAAAAGAAUUUUAUUACUUUAUAUUUUUAAAUAAAUUUAUUUUUAUAAUUAAUGAACGAAACAACUACCAUGAUAUUUUUCUUUCUCGAAAAACUAAUUAAGAAAGAUUCAUUUCCUAAUUGAGUAGUUUGAUGGGGUUUUUUAAAAAACAUUUUUCCACUCGGUAAGGAGGCUUCGGAAAGUGAUUUAAAGUUGCUUUUUUGGAUGCUUGAUGCUAAAAGUCUAAAAGAUGACGGCGAAAUCUCAUUCCGCGAAGCUUCUGGCUACCAGACUGUUGAACGUGCAUAGUCAUUCGAAUAGACCACAAGUAGGGAAGAAGUCAGAAAUUAAGAUUUGAGGGGACCAAAAUUUAAAUUUGACAGAAAAAAAAUUUGACCUCAGAUAGUAAAAAAAAAAAUUUCUCAGAUUGAUUGAUCAGUUAUUACUAGCAACAACAAUGACAAUACGCUUAAAGAGAAAUAAGACUGUAAGAGUUAAAGGAAAAUGACUAAAAAAUUUGAAAAAAAAAAUUGAGACACAAACUUUAUUAAAAAAAUUAAUUUGGCCCCCUAAAAUUAAAAUUUAUAAUAUUUUAAUUUUUAUUAUAAAGAAUUUUUAUGUAAUUUUAAAAUAUUUAGAAAAGGCCAUGGCCGCUGUAGGCCACUCAAUGGCUCCGCCCCUGACCACAAGCUUCACUAUUGUACUAUCACUAAUUAAAUUGUAUUUCUAAAAUUUAUACAUUACACCAUAAUUUUUUUAAAAAUAUUUUAAUUAUACUUUUAUUUUAGAAAAAAAAUAUAUAAUUUACUGGUUAUAGAUAACAUGCAUGACUGUCGCAUAAUAGAGUUUUUUUCGUAUACGAGACCUAAUGCGGAUGAGGUAGGUAUGAUACCUUAUAGGCUAAGUUUUGGACAAAGACGUAACAUCACCAUUAAAGAGGGCCUGAAAGAUAUUAUGUUGGUAAAGAAAAAAUAUAAAAAAUAAAAAUAUAUAAAAUUUAUCUAAAUUAUGUAUUAUUUGGAUUUUACUAUAUAAUUUUUUAAAAUUUAGUUUUACUAUUCACUUUUUUUUAUUUGAGUUCGUCAACGAUAUUUGUACUCUAAAAUUUAAAUUAUUUAUUUAUUUUGAUAAAUAUUGUGAGAAUUGCGUGAAAUAUAUCGAUUAAAUCUGUAAAAAUAAACAACGCAAUUAAAUUUUAAAGUUAAAGAUAUUAUUAACUAACUCAAAUCAAACAAAUUGAAAGGUUUGAUAGCAAAAUCAAAAUUUAAAAAAAAUAGAUGGUCAAAUUCAAAUAUUCUAUCGUUCAGAUAAGUGCUCUAUAUUUUCACCAACAAAGAAUAAAAAAAAAAAAGGAAUAAAGAGAGUCUAACAAAAUUCUACAUUCAUAAAUAAGAAAGAAAGAACUCUAUAUUUCCUUUUCAUAACUUUCUUCAAUCUUGUAACCAAACCCUACUUAUUAAUAAAUUACAUGUGAAAACAACUUAUAAGUACGGAGAUCUCCGUACUUUCGAAAGUAUACGAGCCUAGCUCUAUAUGAGUACGUCUCUCGUGCUUUCGAAAAUACGGAUACCUUCGUACUUGUAAGUUAUUUUCGAUGAUGGGACAUCCGAUUCAACGAUCGAUUCUGUUGGACAUGAUCUACGCUAUUGGAAUUAUCUAGAAACCAAAUUUCAUAAUUUUUUGACUUCGUUUGCCUAGUGAACAAGUAGGCUCAAAAUGAAUGGUUGAAAAUAAAUAUCUCAUAGAAAACAGUGAUAAAGGAUUCAAAUUUCAAAUCGAAAAUAUUGUUCUUGCUCUUGAUAUUAAAUAGAAUUUUCUAUUAAAGUUUCAUGUAAUUUGGAUACUUCUACACCGUUAAACUUAAAAACGGGCCACAUCGACCGUUAAAAUAGUCAUUUUUGACCGCUUGGUAAAUGAUGUUGAAAAAUUAUAAAAUUUGGUUUCUAGAUAGUUCCAAUAGCGUAGAUUAUGCCUAAUGGAGCCGAUCAUCGAAUCGAAAGUCCUAUCAUCGAAAACAACUUACAAACAUAGAGGCAUCCGUACUUUCGAAAACACGAGAGAUGUACUCUCUCUCUCUCUCUCUCUCUCUCUCUCUCUCUCUCUCUCUCUCUCUCUCUCUCUCUCUAUAUAUAUAUAUAUAUAUAUAUAUAUAUAUACACACAUAAGAGUAUAGUAGCCGGACUCAUAUAAAGUAGGGCUACUAUACUCUUACGAGUAUUGAACCCUUUGUACUCAUAAGUUAUUUUUGAUGAUGGGGCUUCCGAAUCGACGAUCCAUUCCGUCAGAUAUGAUCUAAAGUAUUUGAACCUUCUAGAAAAUAAAUUUCGUAAUUUUUCGAAAUCAUAAUAAAGUCCAUCAUGUGGGUAUAAAAUGAACGGACGAAAUCAAACGACGUCCUAAAAAUGGAUGAUCGGAUCCUUCAAUUUAAGAUCGGAGUUAUUGAUCUUUAUCUAGGUAGUGAGUAGAAUUUUCUAUCAAAAAUUUAACCGAUUCCGAUUCUUUUACACCGUUAAACUACCGAGUAUCCCAUACCGGCCGUUAAAAGUUGUCAAUUUUGUGACCUUUUGAUCGUAAGGUAAAUGAUGUCAAAAAAUUAUAAAAUUUGAUUUAUAGAAGUUUUAAAUGCUUUAGAUAACGUUUAACGGUAUGGAUCGUUGAUUCGGAAGCUCUAUCAUCAAAAACGACUUAUGAGUAUGAGGGCGAUCAUACUCAUAAGAGUAUAGUAGCCGGACUCUAUAUAUAUAUAUGGAGAGAGAGAGAGUUGAGUUAGGAUACUUUUAGAAGCACCACCCACUUGGUGCUUAUAAGUUUCUAACCCUUGGAUCCACUCUAUAAUUACUAAUAUCUCCUGGAUCAAACACUAUUCCAUCUACCACCACCCACCACCCACCGCCAUCAUAUAUAUAUAUAUAUAUAUAUAUAUAUAUAGUGGAGCUAGAAUACCCCCAAAAGCACCAAGUGGGUGGUGCUUUAGAGUUCUUAGCCCUUGGAUGGAGAGGUGUGAGGUUGAGAUGAUGAUGGUGGGGGUGGGUGGUGGUAGGUGGAAUAGUGUUUGAUCCAAUGGAUAUUAGUAAUUAGGGAGCAGAUCUAAAGGUUAGAAACUUAGAAGCAUCAAUGAGUUGGUGUUUCUAAAAGUAUUUUAGCUCUACUCGUGUGCGUGUGUGUGUGUAUAUAUAUAUAUAUAUAUAUAUAUAUAUAUAUAGGGUCCGGCUACUAUACUAUUAUGAGUACGAUUGCCCUCGUACUCAUAAGUUGUAGUCGAUGAUAGAGCUUCCGAAUCGACGAUCCACACCGUUAAACGUUAUUUACAGCAUUUAAAACUUCUAGAAAUCAAAUUUUAUAAUUUUUUGACAUAAUUUCCCUUACGAUCAAGAGGUCACAAAUUUGAUAAUUUUUAAUGGCCGUUAUGGGAUACUUGCUAGUUUAACGGUAUAAAAGAAUCGAAAUUUGUUGAAUUUUUGAUAAAAAAAUUCUAUUCACUACAUAGAUAAAGAUCAAUAACUCCGAUCUUGAAUUGAAGGAUCCGAUCAUCAUUUUUUUAGGACGUCGUUCGAUUUUGACCGUUCAUUUUAUGCCCACUUGAUGGACUUUAUUAUGAUUUCGAAAAUUUACGAAAUUUAUUUUCUAGAAGUUUCAAAUACUCUAGAUCAUAUUUAACGGAGUGGAUCGUCGAUUCGGAAGCUCCAUCAUUGAAAACAACUUAUGAGUACGAGGGCUCCAAUACUCAUAAUAGUAUAGUAGCCAUGGCAUAUAUAUAUAUAUAUAUAUAUAUAUAUAUAUAUAUAUAUAGAUUGGAAUUGAGCUAUAAUAUUUUUAGAAACACCAAUUCCUUGGUGCUUCUAGGUUUCUAAUAUUUGGAUCUACUCCUUGAUUAUUAAUAGUUCUUGAAUUAAACACUAUUUUAUCUACCAACACCUACCACCAUCAUCCUAACCUUACAUCUCUCCAUCCAAAAGCUAAAAAUUCAAAAGCACCACACUUGAUAUUUUUGAGGGUAUUCUAGCUCAACUAAUAUAUAUUGAUACAUAGAUAGCAUUGCUUUUAAAUUCUCUGUGUUAGCUGCUUGGAGUCUUUGGAAAGUAAACGGGUAGCGUUGAUUAAUAAAAUGCUGGAAAAUAGCCCAAAGUAUAAUGAUGUGAUUCUUGCAUGCAACGAAUCUAAGCUCUUUUUUUUUAUUAGAAUAUUGAACAUCACCAAAACAAAUAAUAAAUGCAAUUUGGCCGCCUCCGAAGGACCGAAGCUUCCGUAAGUCAACGACGCCACAUGUGCUACACUUGAUGCAACAACAUCACUUAUCUCUAUCGUUUAGGUAACUAGCACAAUAUCAAUUGUUUAGGUAAUUAGUAUAAUAUGCUAUCUUUCUCUCUCUCUCUCUCUUUAAUAAUAAUAAUAAUAAUAAUAAAAAUAAUAAUAUAAAACUUUAUAAAAUUUUAAGAAUUCUCAAUACUAUAAUAUUUUGUAUUAAAUUUCCACAGUAACUAUUUCCUUCCACGGUAAUUUUUCAUCCCUACAUCUUCUUCUUCUCGUUAGCAUAAUCAUCUUCAUAUCCCCUCCCCUCUCUCGCUCUCUUUCUCUCUAAUAUUUUUAGCUUAUUGUUGGGUGUUUGGGUGUCAACUCAGAGAGAGAGAGAGGAUUACGUACUUACUUGCUCAUAUCAACAUGGUGGCGGCUGUAGACAUAACAAUCGCCGGAUGGUUCGUCUCCGCUGUCUUGGGGAAGCUCCUGGAAGGCACCAUCUACUUAGCGAAGGAGAGGAAAUGGCGGAGCGCCAUGCGCGCCGAGCUCGACCGGCUCGAGAAGGCGCGCCAGGACGCCGACAGCCUCCUCGACGAAUUGGAACUCCACAAACUCCAAGAACAAGCCGCCGCCAACACCGCCGCCAACGUCGCGGAGGCUCUGCGCAGAUUUAGACGACAUAAUUUUAGCUGCGAUCCCUUCCGGAGAAGGUUGACGGACGUCGUGCGGAAAUUCGACGAGAUCGCGGCCGGCGUCGACCCGUUCGUUCAGCUGAUCAGGAGCUCAGCUGGCGUCAGCGGCCGCAGGAGAAGCAGCACAGAGUACGACCGGGAGACCGGCUCCUUACAGACGGAGAACGACAUGUUCGGUCGGGUUAAGGAGAAAGAAGAGAUCGUGCGCUGGCUGACCUCGUCGACGGGGUCUAAUGCCAGAAGCAGCAGUGCUGUUUCUCUUUUCUCAGUCGUCGGUAUCGGUGGGCUGGGCAAGACGGCGCUCGCGCAGCUCGUGUACAAUGAUGCAGAAGUGGUGGGACGUUUCGAAUUGAUGAUGUGGGUCUGCGUGUCUAACAACGCUUUCGACUGCACGGCCGUGGGGAAAAAGAUCCUGGAAUCGGCGACUGGAGCGCGGCACGAUGUCGAGACCCUUGACGCAGUGCAGAAGAAUCUCAUGGUGACGAACAAGAGGUUUCUCCUGGUGCUGGACGACGUGUGGAACGAUCAGGUGCUUGCCGGAUGGGAGGGGCUGUUCGCGCCUCUGCGAUCCGGGAUGGAAGGAAGCAAGAUCUUGCUGACGACCAGAAUGAGAUCGGUGGCGGAAAUGGCGGCGAAAGCAUUAGGGAAGGAAAUGCCGGAGUGCAUGAAUUUGGAGGGACUAGAUGACAGUGACUGCCUGCUGCUUCUCAACAAGCAUGCAUUUCGCGGUGUGAACCCGGAUAAUCAUAAAUUGCUGCAGUCGAUCGGCGAGAAAAUAGCAAAAAAGCUGCGGGGCGUGCCGCUAGCAGUGAAGACUGUAGGAGGGAUAUUGAACGACGACUUACGAGACGAGCAUUGGACGAGGAUCUUGGAAGUUGGGGCGCUGAAUUCGGAGCAGGGAAGCGACGGAAUCAUGCCGAUUCUCAGGUUGAGUUACGAGCACCUCCCUACGCACCUGCGACGCUGCUUCCGGCACUGCAGCAUAUUUCCUGAGGAUUUUCAGUUCCGUAAGGAAAAUUUGGUCCCGAUGUGGGUGGCCGUCGGUCUGAUUCCGGACGGAACGGAAAGACCGGAGGAUGUAGGGAGCAGGUACUUCGAGAGCCUCGUGAGAAAAUCUUUCUUCGAUCCGAAGGACUUGCACUAUGUCAUGCACGAUCUUCUUCAUGAGCUUGCGCAAAUUGUUUCUGCAGAUGAAUGCCUGAGAAUUGCGGGCGAUUCACCUGUAGAGAUUCCGAAGAGCCUUCGGCAUUUGUCUAUACAGGCAAAUGAUUUGUCGGUGCUCCGGAAUGUGCCUCCUUUAACAAAUUUGCGCACCCUUUUCCUGCAUUGUGAUGCAGAUAAUCCCAAAUUGGAUGUUGCUAUUGAUGGAAUGCUUUCUGGCUUAACAAACCUGCGCCUGUUGCAAUUGUCCGCAAAGUACCUGCACAUGUUUCCUGGCUCAGCCCGCCGCCUUAUCCAUCUUCGCUACUUGAGCAUAGGACAAACUUGUAUAAGUGGUCUGCCGCGAUUCGUAUGCAGGCUCUAUCACUUGCAAGGCCUUGAUCUCAAAUCGAAUUCCUGCUUCCAAGUCUCUCAAGGUGUGCCCGUAGAUAUCUGCAACCUGAUGAAUCUGCGAAUCCUGUCCGUGCCCUCCAUUCAAUCGUUACCGAGGAUAGGAAAACUUACUUCUCUUCAAGCAUUGAUAUGGUUCAGCAUUGAAGACAAAGCUGGACACCGGAUAACUGAGCUAGGAAAGAUGACGGGACUGCGCGAGCUGAUGAUCACAAAUCUUGAGAAGGUGAAAAGCGCCGAAGAAGCUGCCGGGGCCAAUUUGAGCAAAAAGGAGCAGCUUUCUCUGCUUUCACUUCGGUGGGGCACAGCUCCACGCGACGAUGAAUCAGACGAGCAAUUGCUCGAUCACCUCCGACCGCAUUCGAAUCUCAAGCAUCUGGAGAUCCAUGGCUACAACGGCCGGAGGUCGCUGCAUUGGAUGAGAAACGAAUACACCCCUCGUUUAGCUCACAUUCGCAUCUCAGGUUGCGCUCGGUUGGAAAUCCUUCCUCCUUUUGGGCAGCUUCCCUACCUCAAAGUUCUUAUUCUCGAUAACUUGGAGGCAGUUAAGCAACUCGGUCCAGAAUUUUACGGCGCUCAUGGAGUUAGCAGUGCUUUCCCAUCUCUAGGAACGCUACAGUUGAACCGGAUGACGGGACUGGAGAACUGGGACGGAGGCGUGGAGGACGAUCAAUGGUUUCCUUGCUUGAACAAGCUCGGGGUCGCCAGAUGCCCAAGGCUAAGUGCACUGCCUCCUAUUCCGAUUUGUCUCCGAGAGCUUGAACUGAAUUUUUUGGAAAUAACCACUCUUCCAAAAGUUUGGGUGCCGAAUCAAACUAGCCGUCAUCAUAUAUCAUCACCGCCGUCAUCCCUUUCCUCCGUUGUUAUUGUCGAAUGCUCCAAGCUAAAAUCACUAUCACAAGGAUUGUUCGGGCACCCGGAACGUUUGUUAUGUCUAGAGAAUCUUAGCAUCCAGAAUUGUGCCGAGCUGGUACAUUCACCCGCGGAAGGAUUUGCGAAUGUCGUCAAGCUUAAGCGCUUCGCAAUCCAAGGAUGCAAGAAGCUUCUGCUGCUGCCGGCGAUACCCGGCAGCUUCCUACCUCCGUCACUUCAAUACCUUAAUCUGAGUUCCCCCGGCGGUCUCGACGCGUCGUUGCGUCACUUACUGCACGGCCUCGCAUCUCUCUCUUCCCUGAAGCUAUCUCAUUGCACGAACCUCACAUCCUUUCCUUCGGGCGACGUCCUUCGAACAUUGCGUACGCUGAGCUCACUGUCGCUUCAAAAGUGUCACGAGCUGGUGUCCUUAGAUGGUUUGCAAUUCCUCCCUUCCCUCAAAACCUUGGAAAUUAAGGAGUGCCACAAGCUCAUACCAGAAGCAGAAGCAGAAGUCGAAGCAUCGUCGCCAAUGUUAGUUGAGGUGCCUUCAUUGGCACUCGAUAGGCUCGAUGUAGACGACCCUUCGAUGUUGCUAGUGGUGCCAUUAAGAAGCCUAACCUCCACCAGAUCUGUACACAUACGCGGCUGCUCACACAUUUCUGCAGUAACUGAAAGUUGGUUGUCGCAAAACCGGGCCUCCCUCCAAUCGCUAGUAUUGGACGGUGGGGUCUCGCUGCAGUCGCUGCCUGAUACCUUGCAAAGCCUCUCGUUGCUACGAUAUUUGGCCCUGCAAAAUGCAGGCCAGCUCCAGAGCCUUCCACUACUGCCGCGGUCACUGAAGACUUUAAACAUCUCUGGCUGUUGUCCAGAAUUGGCGGAGAAUUGCAAGACGGAGAGUGGAUCAGAUUGGCACAAAAUUGCACAUAUCUCAGAUAUAACUAUUUCACCGAUAAGUUCGCCAUCUAGCAGUCAUUAGAUGGUUCUACACUGGUACCUCUCAUCUCCUUCAUCCCUUCGCAACUUUUUACAAUUCAUUUUGAUAGUAUGAUGCAAGAACACUUCUAUCUCGCCAUGUAUGGCAUCAUUGAUGUAGGAGUUGAUAGCCAGGUUUAUAAUUGUUAAAAAUAAUAUCGAAUUUAAUCUGUAGAGUCAUAUAUUACUUUAAAUGAUUUUGUGUGGAAAUCAUUAAAUUGGAUAUAAACGGAUAAAGUCCGAAUUUCAUCAGACUAGUCUGUCAAUUUCUCUGGGCUGAUUUGUCGACUGUGUUACAGAUAACCCAAAAUUGUUGUCAUUGCAGAUCUGAGUUAUCUUUUAUUGUUUACUUUUGAAACAUAUAGAUGUGAUUUUUAUUGUAGCAAUUUAUCGAGUUGUGUGCACUGAUGAAUGGAUGGCAAUUUCGAGCCUCAAUAGAGAAGCAGAAAUCUAAAAUUAUAUGCUGCUUUUUCAUCCCUAUAGAUUUAAGACAUGUUGACUUGGUUUGAUUGGUAUUGCUUAUAUUUCUUUUGUGUCUUUAAAGCAGAAAUCCCCUUUCUCUCCUUCUGACUCCUAGUGCUGUUAAAGCCCCCGAACAAGAUCCAUUUUCCUUUGCAGCAAUCCUUCAACAGCCGUAACUCUGUGUAGAAAUCCUCCUUGCCAUUCUAAGAAGCUGGUCCAUAUACAUUCGUAACAAAGAAUUGUGUUCCACAGUUGGUUAGGGUCAGGUGGACUGUGAUGGAAUAGCGUCUCGCUAGCACUUCACUGUAGGAAAAGAUGCAAGAGCUCCAACAAGUGAUCAGUCCUCCGGAUGCGCCAUUAGAUUCAACAAAAACACAUUUGUCAAGAAAAGACCGAGCAAAACUACGUAGGAAGGACCCCGAAAUGUACCCGACUUUAGAUUCUUGAAGGCACACGACAACAUUUCGAAUCGAAGAGAUUACAUUCCGUACCACAAAACGUUUAGAAAGGUCGUUAAGCCCUCUAACAUUCCAACUACAGACCCUAAGCAUCAUAACAUAAUAGACACCACACCCCAAAAAAAGCCAAAAAAUGUCUACUAUCCCGUGUACACGUCCGCGACGUGCUCAUUUCUUCGCGAACCCAACGAGUUCUAUCGCCUCCGCAUCGUUCAGGAUCACCCCACAGCAACGGCCCUUGUGGACGAUUUUCUUUAGCAUAGAAUCAAAAACAGCAUCGCCCCCCCCUUCUUGCUGUCGCAUCUUUCUAUUCAGCCCCCAUGUAGCUAAGUUCAUAUCCUAAAUGAAUGAAGCGGGUAGCGUGCUACAUUUUUCUCAAAGAAAAAAAAAAGAAGCAAACAAAGCAUCUAAUCUUUAUGAUAUAUUUUGUUACGAUGAGCGCAGAAACAUAAACAAAAAACGACGAACGUGAAGUAGACAAACUACAAGUAUAAAAUAAAAUGAGCACAAAGAUUUAUGUGAAAAAAAUUUUAAAGGAAAAAACGAUGUACCGCGCCUCUAGGGCAAAUCGAAGAAAGAAAAAAAAAAAAUAACGGAUUUUAGAUCCGAUUUGUUCCGCUAGGCACCACAAACAACUAUUUUUCCUUCACAAAAUUCUUUUUUAGAAUUUAUCGUAUCGCGAAACUGUCGACGAAUGGGUGACUCAAAACUAAAACAGAUUAUCAAAUUUCGAGGCACAUCUAACAUAUUUUAAUUAAAUUUCUAGCAACUAAGUUUGUUAAUUCUAACCAAACUUCUUAUGUCAGCACUAUAUAAUGCCAGAUGACUAUUCCUGUCCAAUUUUAUUGGAUAAAAUAAAAUAUAGAAAUUAAAAUCCGAGCCCGGCCCGUACUACUUAUGACUAGACUGGGCCUAACUCAAUUACGGAAAAAUUAACCGAACAAACUGACCCGUUUCAUAAGGGUUACGGAUGACGUGGUGCACUGGGUCCACAAAACUUUGUGCGAAAGUCAACGUAGUAGGAAACUACUUUGUGUUUCUCCUCCAUGCUCUCUCUCUCUGUCUCUCUCUAGUAGGUAUUGGUUGUUGCUUAGACAUGGUAGGCGUAGCCCUAACGGUCGCGGGAUGGUUCGUGUCGUCGAUCAUCGGGAAGCUCAUCGACGGCGCCCUCGCCUACGUCAAAGACCACAAGCAAUGGCGCAGCGCCAUGGCCGCCGAGCUCAAGAGGUUGGAGAUGGCGCGGCCCCAGAUCGAAGGCCUCGUCGACGCGGCCGAGAACGGCGGCCUCAGUGUCCCGAGCCCCGCUCUCGAGCGAUGGCUGUGGCAGCUCAAAGACGCCGUGGAGGAUGCCGACAACCUAUUCGACGAAAUGUCUCACCGAACCAUCGAACAAGAAUCCGCCACAUCCCGCUCCAAGUGGCACGCUCUGCCGUUCUCUAAGCGAACCACCGCAUCCGGUCUGAUCUUAGAGAGGUUGAGGGAGGUCGUGAAGCGAUUCGACGACCUCGUGUCCAGGGUAGGCGCUUUUGCACAUAUCGUCGGGAGCUUACGAGAUGGACGCACCGCGCGGAGGGUGCUGCGGAGGUAUGAGAUCGAAGGAGGACCCGGGACGGGCUCCUUGUUGGCGGCGGGUGAGGUGCUCGGCCGAGAUAAUGAGCGGACAGGGCUCAUGCUCCGGUUGACUGGGCCGGCAGUUUGCGAGGACGGAUCGAAUUGCGGGGGAAUUUCUGUUGUCUCUGUUUUAGGCAUUGGCGGGGUCGGGAAGACCGCGCUCUCGCAGGACAUCUUUGAAGAUCGAGAAGUGGAAGGCUUUUUCGAUUUGAAGAUGUGGGUUUGCGUCUCGAAUGCCUUUUAGCCGACGGGCAUCUUGAAGAAAAUGUGGGAAUCGGCAACCAAAGCAAAGACCGAUGUCGAGACCCUCGAUUCGAUACAAAGGAAUCUCAAGGAGAAGUUGAUGAACAAGAAGUUUUUAUUGGUAUUGGAUGAUGUGUGGAAUGAUCAGGAUGAAACCGCAUGGGAUAAUGUAAUGGCUCUGUUAAGAUAUGGGCGGAGCAGAAGCAAAAUCUUUCUGACGACUAGAAUGAGAUUGGUAGUAGAAAUGGUUGGGUGGUCGGUGGCUGGGGAGAUGAGUGAGCCCUUGAAUUUGAAGGGCUUAGAAGAGAACGACUACUUAAUGCUUUUCAAUAAAUAUGCAUUUGGUGGAGCAAACCCUGGCAAUCAUAAAAAGUUGCAAAUUAUAGCCAAAGAAAUACCUAAGAAGCUCAGAGGAAUACCGCUAGCGGCAAAGACUAUUGGUGGAAUAUUACGAAAAGAAUUAAGUGAUGAGCAUUGGACAAGAAUUUUGGAAGGCCAAUUAAUUAGAACAGGGAAAUGAUGGCAUCAUGCCGAUUCUUAGGUUGAGUUACCAACACCUACCAGCAGAAUUGCAGCAAUGCUUCCGUUACUGCAGCAUAUUUCCCCAAAAUUAUGAGUUUAAGAAAGAAGAGUUGGUCCAUAUGUGGAUGGCUGUCAGUCUAAUUGAGCAAAAUCCAAAUGAAGAGGAGAGACCAGAGGACAUAGGAGGCGGGUACUUCGAGAGUCUAGUGAGAAAAUCUUUCUUCGAACAUAAACACUCAUACUAUGUCAAGCAUGAUCUCCUUCACGGCCUUGCACGGUUUGUUUCUGCGAAUGAAUGCUUGAGCGUUGUAGGCAAUUUGCAUGUACAGAUCCCAGAAUCUGUCCGACAUCUGUCUGUAAAGACGGAUGACUUAUCGGUGAUUAAAAUGAUACCACAGCUACAGUAUUUGCGAACCCUUUUGCUACAUUGCGACCGAAAUGAUCCUCAAUUAGAUAAUGUAGUUGGUGAUAUGCUCAAAGGCUUGACAAACCUGCGCCUGUUGGGAUUGUUUACCAAGUUCAUGCUCGUGCUUCCAGACUCGAUUGGGGACCUUAUCCACCAUCGAUACUUGCAUAUAGGCCGAAAUAAUGUAAGUAAAUUACCCCCUUCUGUAUGUAGGCUUUAUCACUUGCAAGCUCUUUAUGUCCAAUCGAACAUCAGCUACAAAUUCUCUAAGGACAGUAUACCAGCAGAUAUCAACAACCUGAUUAAAUUACGAUCUAUCUCUUCAGAGGUAAUUCCCAUGAUACCGAAGAUCGGAAAACUCACUUCUCUUGAAGUGCUCAUUGGCUUCAGCGUCAAAGAGGAGGCUGGAUACAGGAUAACCGAGCUAGAGAAAAUGUCAGAAUUGCGUGAACUGAAAGUCCACAAUCUUGAGAAUGUAAAAAGUCCCCAAGAAGCUGCCAAGGCCAAGUUGAAUUCAAAGGCACACCUCGCUUCCCUGUCAUUACAGUGGAAUUCAUUACGUAAUGUAACAGAAGAUGGUGUUAGUUUGGAUAAGCAAUUGCUUGAUUGCCUCCAACCACAUUCUAACCUCAAGCAUUUGAGAAUGUUUGGCUACAAAGGCAAGAGAUCGCCGCAUUGGAUGGUGGCUCACUCGCUCCCUUCUCUAACUUCUGUCUGCUUAGAACGUUGUGAUAUGUGGGAAACCCUUCCCCCUUUUGGAGAUCUUCCCUUUCUUAAACCUCUUAUACUUACAGAAAUGAAAGCCGUUAAGCAAAUCGGUCUGCAAUUCUACGGGACCGGUGGAGUUAAUAGUGCUUUUCCGUCGUUAGAGCUGCUUCAGUUUGAAAAUAUGGAAGGAUUAAAACACUGGUACGGAGGCAUAGAGGAUGAGCAGUGUUUUCCUUGCUUGAGUAGGCUUGUGGUAACUGGCUGUCCGAAGCUAAGGCGAUUGCCUCCUUUACCCCUGAGUCUCAAAGAGCUCCAUAUAGGUUUUCUGGAAAUAACCGCCCUUCCACGACUUUGGACGCCGCCAAAUCAAAGCCACAGGAACAUGUCAUCACCAUCGUUUCUUUCGUCCAUAUCUAUUGUUCGGUGUUCAAAUCUAAAGUCAUUAGCCGAAGGGUUGUUCCAGGAUCCCGAACGUCUUAUUCUUCUUGAGGAUCUUACAAUCCGGGAUUGCUGCGAGCUGGUGCAUUUACCGGUGGAAGGGUUUGAAAAGUUUGUCAGCCUUAAACGGCUCUCAAUCCGAUCGUCCGAGAAACUUUUGCUGCUACCAAUGAUUCCUGACAACUUCCUGCCUCCAUCCAUCCACUACCUUACUUUGCAAUCCUGUGGUGAUCUUGAUGUGUCGCUACCUCGCUUACUGCAUGGCCUAACAUCUCUCUCUUUCCUAAAGCUAGCCCACUGUUUGAACCUCACGUCCUUGCCCUCAAGCGACAUACUCCAAAGAUUGACUGCAUUAACCUUGUUGAUGAUUCAAAAUUGUCGAGAGUUGACAUCACUGGGGGGAUUAGAGUUCCUCCCCUCCCUAAAAAUCUUGGAAAUUACAGAAUGCCGCAAGCUUGUCGGAGUAGCAGUAGCUGAAGCAGAAGCAUUGUCGCUGAGGGCUGUGGAGGUGCCCUCUUUAGCACUUGACAGGCUCAACAUAGAUGACCCGUCACUACUGCUACUUGAACCAUUGAGAAGCCUGACCUCAAUCAAAUCUGUGUACAUUAGGGACUGUUCGCACAUUCUGGCCUUACCCGAUCGGUGGUUGCUGCAAAACCGAGCUACGCUUCAGGUGCUAGCGUUGUACAAUGCAGUCUUAUUGCAGUCAUUGCCUGAUAGCUUGCAGUGCCUCUCGUCCUUACGGCUUUUGGUUCUGCAGGAUUUCCGCCAGCUACAGAAGCUUCCAGAGCUGCCGCGAUCCCUAAAGACUUUAGACAUCUCUGUCUGUCACCCGGCCUUGUUCGAGAGCUGCAAGAGAGAUGGUGGCUCGGACUGGCACAAAAUCGCGCACGUGUCGGAUGUGAAUAUUGUUCCAAUGAAUAUUGUUCCAAUCUUAUGGGCCUAACAGACUUGAGAUGGCUCUUCGACAUCGGUUCUUCCUUUUAUUUUCUCCUGAUGUUCACUAUUUUUUUUUCACUCUCUCAGACAAAGUGUCUAAUGUUCUCUUCUAACAUUUUCAGCUGUAAACUAUUUGGAAAUAGACCAGUCAAUGCUAUUUUUUUCUUUUCUUUUUCCUCCACAGGCUCCCUUUCAACUUUUAAAUUUUUUAAUUUGAGAUUAAAUUAAUAAUUUUAUUACAGACUGUUGCUCUACUAGCUAUUACUUGUUAAUUCUGAUAAUUCUUAAUUUAUUCAACUACAAUUAUUCAAAUCAAACAAAUUGUAAUGGUGAUCUAUCCUAUUCUCUAAUUUAUUUAACUUAAAAGUGCUCAAAUUACCUAUAAACAAAUAAGGCUGGUAAUUUCUCCUGUCCUAUAUUUGGAUUUCACCAGGUGUGGUCCACGGAUGAUUUUGGUAGACCAUGUCCAAGCAUCAAUUUCUCUCUCACAUCCCCCAACAAAGCCACCUUCUAAUUCUCCCCUUCUCCCUCCGCUCCCUCUCACCACGCUCGCACCGCCAAUGGAGGAGAAGGCGACGAAACCCCGAGUCGAACGCGGCGGCAGCAGCGGCGGAGGGGGAGGCGGCGGCGGCGGCGGCGGAGGAGGAGGAGGAGGUGAGCUGGUGGAGCGGCUUCCGCAAGCCCUAAUUGGGGAGAUAAUGGCGAGGCUCGACCUCGAGUCUCUGUGCUCGGCGGCGCCCGUGUGCAGAGCCCUCCGCGCCUCCGCCUCCCUCGCUCUCUCUUCCAUCUCCUCCCUCGACCUCUCCGUGAGCUCCCUCUUCCCUCUCCUCCCUUCAUGGCUUCGUCUUCGUCUUCUUCUCUUUCCCAUUUUUGCAUUAAUAAUGCGAUGGGUGUCGCAAAGUUGCGAUCUUGCUGCGGAUUCUUCGUGUUAAUCGUCGAAUUCGAGAAUAUCACUUUUUUGCUGCAGAUUAUUCUUCUUUUCUCCCUCUUCUGCUAGAAUAAUGAGAUAGGUUCUGCGAAGCUCGAGUCUUGCUGCUGAGAUUCUUCUUCUGAUUGUGUGAAAUUAGGCUUUAUACUAUGAUUCUUCACUGCGCUAUCUUUCUCCAGUUCGGAUGCAUCUUCUUUUUGCUCUUGGGUGUCGUAAAGUUCCAAUCUUGCCGCAGAUUAUCUUCUGAUGGUGGAAUUAGGGUUUGUUCUGAUGAUUUAUUUACUGCAGUAAUGUAAUGUAAUGUUUGUCUAUUAUUGUUUCUCUCCCCCUAUUCUUACACAUAACUGGUGAUGCUUUAAGCUAGCUGAAGCUGCUGAACCCUCUGAUCUUAUAUAUAACUGCUGAUUCCUUAACCUAGCUGAAUCCUCAACAUUAUCCAGCAUUAAUGUUCAUUUCCUUUUCGUCGGGAGCUGUUUAAUUUGGAAGAUGUAAUUGGUUUAUCUGUGAAAGGACUUCUCAAUAAUCAUACUCUUUUUUACUUGUUUUGUUAUUUUUUUCCCUCUAUAAGCGUAACCUUUGCUUGACAAACAAUAUACCUAAAAUUUCUGUGGUGAUUAUGUAGGGGUUUCCUCCAACAGCUAGCAUUUUGAGUGGACUUCUCAAUAAUAAUAGCUGCAUUCGGAGCCUCACUCUCGACUGCAGUCAGUUAGAUGAUUCCUCCGUCAAGAUUUUUGCGAAAAAGAAUCUGCUCGAGCUCUCUUUGUUGAAAUGUUCAAUGUUCUCUUCUAAUAUUUUCACAGUUAUCGGUGAAAACUGCCCCAUGUUAAGGUAUGCGUCUUAUUUCACCAACAGCAAAUUGUCCCAUGUUAAGGUAUGCGUCUUAUUUCACCAACAGCAAAUUGAAAAUGAACAAUAAUGUAACAGUGAGCCACGAGCUAGUGAAAGAUAACACUCUUAAACCAAAAUUCGCCUGGGAACUUAUGCACACUGAUGUAUUCACGCUCCAACCUCUCUUUAGUAAUAUACUUUGUCAACCAAUCUCAAAUAUAUUAGCUAUCCAACAGUGUAUAUUCGUCUUUAACCUAAUUUAUCUUCCUUUCAAAUGUCUUCUACUGUUGGUUAGACUCAAACUAUAUGCAUGAGAAUACCACAUGAGUCUAUCUUUUCUUUUCCAUCUCAGAUUGUUUUCACUGGAUAUACUUACUUUGGACAUGGAGCCGAACAGUGUAUGUGAAAACACUAUAGCUCGGAUGCUCAAGGGAUUUUUGUAUUUGGAGGUGAAUUUUUUGAUUAUUAGAUCUUUUAAUAUCAAUAAAAGCAUCAUAGGUACUUGCAGUAUGUGGGCCAAGUCUUUUAGUUUUCAAUCUGAUUUAUUUAUGCUUUAUUUGCAGCAUUUGUCAAUAAAGUUCCAGCUAGUACAUCCUGCUUUUGGUUUUUUUGAGUCUUCUCAAUUCGCCCUUCCGAAAACCAUUAAAGUUUUGUUGCUGCAACCUAUACAUGCUAGGCAAGCAAGCCGACUUAUUCUCAACAAUAUAUGCGACACUGAGCCAGUUGCACCCGUUGCAGCUGUUGGUAACUUCUAUUUGGGGACGUCUUGGGGAAGCAAUCUGCAAUCCCUUACGCUUGUACUCAAUAUAAUAUCGGAUCAACUCAUCACCACUAUCACCAAAAAUCUUCACCAUCUGGUCGAACUGUGCCUAGAAGACAAACCAUUUGAGGAGCCCCUUUUGCUUCAUGAUCUGACCAAUAGCGGGCUUCAAUCACUAAGCCUUUGCCAAAACUUGACACGCCUCUCUCUCACGCGCAGUAAAACAUACAUCCCAGCCACUUUCAGAAGGGUGAAUGAUGUUGGUAUUCUUCUUCUCGUUGAAGGAUGUAAAAGGCUCGAAUCAGUGAGGCUCGGCGGAUUCGCCAGAGUGACAGAUGCAGGGUAUGCUGCAGUCCUCCACUCAUGCAAGAGCUUGAAGAAAUUCGAGAUUGUAAAUGCCUCAUUCUUGUCGGACUUGGCAUUUCUUGAUCUAUCUGCAGCUACCUCCCUCGUUGAAGUGAGAUUGGUGUCUUGCAAUCUGAUAACCAGUGAAACUGCACUCUCUCUCUCUACAUGUAGUAAUAUGGAAGUCUUAGACCUUUCUGGGUGCAAAAGUAUUGCAGAUUCUGGCGUGAUUUCGUUCUCGAAGCUUUCUAAGUUGAAUGUAUUGGACCUCGGUGGAUCUGAUAUCACCGAUAUUGGCUUAUCCGCACUUGGUGGCGGGAGCUCACCGAUAUCUUCUUUAUGUUUGAGGGGCUGUAAAAGGAUCACUGAUAGAGGUAUCGCUCAUCUGUUUAAUGGCAAGGGAAUUAUCAGGAAUACGAUAUUGACGCUAGACAUGGGUUACCUGCCUAGAAUAUCAGAUAAAGCUGUUGUUGUAAUUGCAAAGGCUUGUACAGAGAUCACCAUUCUAUGUAUCCGGAAUUGCUUCGGUAUCACUAAUGCAUCAAUAGAAGCUUUGGGUUCGCUGAAUCAUCUUGUUGGGAGAAGAACGAUAAGAAUGCUUGAUGUUUCCAACUGUUGUGGAUUAUCUGUUGAUUCUCUUAUGUUCCUUGCCCCUCCUUUCUUUUGCGGUCUACGCUGGCUUGGUAUUGGGAACACCAGUUUAGCGAGGAAAAGCAAACGCAGAGAUAUGGAACUUUUGGGAGGCAGGGUGGGUUUCAGGUUAUGCAUCGAGGGCUGCGAAAUGGGCUGCAAAAAUGGGUGGUACAGCCACAAAUUUAUAUAGCGUUCGAUAUUCAAGUACUAAAAUACCAGUUCAUGUAAUACUAGGACUAAGCAAUGUGUUAGUCAUUCCUUUUUAUAAGAGUAUUUGGACUAUCAUGCCAAUCUGCAUAUUUCACCAUUUGUUGUUUUGUUUUUUUUCCCUUUUUUUUUUUUCCCAUAUAACCUUCAUUUGCUUUCUGAGGUUGAGUAGUAUUAAGCUCCAAAUAUGAUAGGGUCUCAUUGCUCAUCAAAGUGUCUUGCAAAUUUAUUGUUUUUUAUGCAUCAUUUCAAUUGAGAAACACAAAUAAUAAUUUCCCGGGUGUCUAUUCAUUGUUUAAGAAAAAAAACGUAGCAAUCGCACAACAAUCGAAGAAUAAAAGUCAAUCACUAAAUAAAGAUACAAUAAUACUCUUAAUUUUGGCACAAAAGAGAUAUCAGAAUUCACGUAUUGUGAGAUCAAUCCUCGACCACAGAAAAUGAACUCAACAAAGUUCAACACCAAUGGAUCAACUGUUCUAUACGGUGUGACUGCAACAAAGAAAACAGAAAAAGAAGAGGGGGGGAGCAGAAGACGAGACUCUACAGAAGUGAACUAAUUCAAUUCUUAAGCUAACAAUGCAUCAUAAAAACCACUAUGCAAUUUAUAUGAAAGCCGUUCGGCCUCCUCUUCGGCUGUGCCUGUCAUAGGUUACGUUGAACUUAUCAACCAGCUCGCUCAUCGUACUGCAUAGUUGAGAAAAAAGAACCAGAUAAGCACUUUGAUACAUACACACAUUGGUAAUUAACAGUAGCUUUGGACUUGAAUGUAAGGUAAUCCCUCAUCCAAGAGAGACCACACGACAUUUUAGUUCCUUCGAUAACAUAGAUACUUUAAAUAAGCACCAAUAACAACAACAACAAAGCGGAGGCCACGUGUAUCAGCAUUGCAAGCCAAUCGAAAAGAAAAAUAUGCCAGCUGUGUUGCACUGUUAAAAAGUCCAUAUAGUUGCAGAACUGAAAUAGCUGCAGUAAAUGUUCAAGGUCCCUAAGAAUAGGUGUUCAGAAAUUGUUGGCAUAUUCCUUAUAGAUGAGAGAGAAUAAUCUUUCUCAUCAGUGGCCGCAACCUAAAAUCUCAGUUUUGUAAUUAGAAAGUUCUUUAUGUUUAAAGCAUUCCACCUACCAGGUUUAUUUAUCAUGUUCCAACAAAAGUAAUUGGAUCCCCUAUGCAUUACACAGUUGAUGACAUCUCUCUUCUCUUCCAUUCAACCAGUUCCUCAAAAUGACCCUUAAGUGAACAACAAGAGAUGUGACGAAUAAAAUUCGAAGAGGCCCUUCAGUUCACCAGUCAGCAGACUAGCUUAGCAUUAUCUUUUUAUCAUCAAUAAGCAUGCCCAGAAAUACAUCUUCCACCAGAUAUAUUUCUCUUACACGAGGUUUAACAAACACAAACUUUAAUGGUCAAGAUAGCCUUAUUAAGAUGACCCCCAGAUAUGCUUCUUUCUUUUUUCCUUGUAAUUUCAUGGUAGUGUAAGGGUUUUACAUACCUGGAACAGUUGGUUAACAUGGCAAGAUAAGUCAUCAGAAGUGUGUCAUUAAAUUCCUACAAGAAAGAGUAGACAUCAUCAUUCAUUAAGGCCUAGAAGAAAAGGCAAUAAUACCAUAUUUUGUUUACUGUUAAAAUAGGUAUUUUACUCAUGUAACCAUAUAAGAUGCUUCGUCUUAUUCUCGAAUAAGUUGGAGUAAUACUCCAGUUAGAAGAUAAACCAGAUCUUUCUAAAGCAGCAUGAUCCACGAAAAUAAAACCUGGAGUCAAAAAGCAGCAAAUAAAUAAUGCAUUUAACACACCGUAAGAAACUCAUCCUGAAAUUUCUCAGACUCCAUGGCUGGCAAUCUCCUCAAAAGGCUUGAAACUUGCCUUAGAAGUGAGUUAUCGCAAGGAAUUUCACCUAUAUGUUAAAAAACAACAGUACUAGUUAAGAAACCAAGCAAGAACAUAAAAGAUUACAUGGUCCAUAUAUUUAAGACAAAAUGCAAUUAAUGGCUUUAUAAAUUCCAAUUUCAAUGGAUGGUUUCUCAAUGAAAUCUUUGAUGUUUCAUAUAAAAGAUAGACCUAUGAAUUUCUAUGAUGAAACCACAGGCCUUGUCACUCAACAAAGGAUCCACUAGUCAAAUAUGUAUAAGAUGGGACAAGAACAAUAAUGAGUGAUAUAAGAAAGUUCAUAGUAUAUAUUAACACAUUACAGCAAAAACAACAGUCAAAAAUCGAAAGAAACUGAUAGAAAAUUGAAAUGGCAAAAAAUGUACCUCUUUGCAUGGCAAGAAGAUGUUGAUGAACUAUUUUGAUCCUGCUAUUUAGCAUCUUGAUGGCACUAUGGAUGCUAGUAAGAUGAGCUGCCACUACUCACAAACACAUUUGUCGGUUUUCAUCAAUCAACAAAAUAAGAUAAAAGACGACAAUAGCAAAGUCUUACAUUGAGUUGCAGCUGAGCCCCCAUCAGAUGGUUUAAGAUGUGCUACAUGAUCAACUGAAAUUCUCUCUGCCUCUACAGUCUUUAAUUAAAACAAGAACCAAAAGAGACACAUUCAUCUUAACUGUAUAUGAUAGUUUUCCAACAGAAGUGAAUGAAUAGAGAAGCCUAACCUCAAUUGUGUAAUUUGCUCGGACAAAGAUGAGUUGUGGAAUCCCAUCAAUGACAUGCAACUCUUGAGAAGUUACAACAUAAUUCAAAUUUGCAAGAGCAGACAGUAUCAUAUUGUAAGUUGUAAUAAAAAACAAAGAUAUUCUACAUAAAUAGUUGUAAAAGUUAGAAGAUUAAACAGUAUGAUUGCUAGCAUAAGUGAAAGGAACAAUGCACCAGUCAAAUACAGUUGAUGGACAAAUACACACAAAACAAAUGCAGCUAACAUCACUAUUAGUCCACCGUGUAUAAUGGUAACAACUAUCGUGCUACUCAGCAUUUAGAACAUUGUUUAGUAAUCAUAGAAACAAUCCUAGGAAGACUAUUGUACCAAAAAGAUUAAUGGUUCUAGACGCUUGAUGCAACAGUUUCUACAGCCAACAAAUCCCUAAUAUCGUAUUAUCGAAAAUAAAAUAAACAACUAGCCGUGGGAAAAUGAAUUAAAGCAGAUUCAAAGUGCGGGCUCACGUACCACUUUCAUAGAUAGUCACAGGUAGGUCUUUUUGCGAGUGGUUGAUGGAAGGAUUCAACACAACAUAAACCGGGCUUUCAUUUAUAUCCAUCAGCUGUUUGAAAUUGUGAUAACAAAAUAUACAAGAUUAAAAACAUACCAAUACAAAAACCUUAACGAUAUAGCGAAAAAACGAAAGGGAAUUAGAUUAUUAGCAUCAUGCAACAACCAAAAAGCCAUACUUCCAAGCAAAUUCUUCUCCAUUCAGUCAUAUCUUGGGCAAUCUCCUCGUGGAAAAUAGGAUUCGCCAUACCUUUUCUCUUUGUGACUUAGAGGGACAUGAGUUACAUCAUGCACUUUGACAGUACAUGAGCCAUACCAUGUUGCAAAAGUUCAUAAGGCCAUUUCUAUAAUAUUUUCAUGUUAAAUUCUAAAUUUUGUUUGGCCUUAACUUUGAUAGUGUUGCCUAUUGAAUGCGUUGCUUCUUACUAUUAAAGGCAUCUAAAAUAAAUCCACCUAUUCCUCAUGAAGGGGUGCCAUUAUUAUGCCCCGUCGAGCAUUUUGGAAAAUUACAUGUCCAGAUGUUACCGAUCCCCAGGCCAACGACCAUCAUUUCUUGCUUUCUAUAUGACCAUCCAUUGAAUAAAUGGUCUAAGUUUAUGCAUAUAUUAAAUCAGCAACAAUCUAGCUCCGUAUAGAAUAGAUGAUGAAGCAUAAGGGAAGUUGGUCUGGACGAUAGUAAUACAUACUUGAAUUACUACCAAACUUCACAAAAUUAUGCACGGCACGUUAUGCAAGUAUUCGCAGGACAUCAACUAAGACUUAGCAAGAUACUAGUAUAAUCAACAAAUCAAAAUAUAUUACCAUCAACUUCACAAACUUAGUUAUGUCCCAGUUAACACUCUUAAAUAAAGGCAUUGUAUCAACAAUGUCCAAACUUACAGCUCUGUGGAUCUGCAUAUCCGACUCCUGUGCAUCAGUCCCCGUUGAAUACCACCCCAAUAUGUAGUAGUUCGGGAAAACCUUUUUAUCUGCAUCAAAGCACCCAAGGAUCACCAAUCAACAGCACAGAAAGAAAGAAAUAUGAAUUGACAAAAUAAACCAAAUUCUGGCAUAAAAGAAAGAUGUCAAUAAAGAACAAACCCUAAUUUCUAACCAUUAAACCUCAAUCUUUUAGAAUCCAUCGUAACAGUACGAAGACCGAAACCCUAGAUAAGGGAACAAGAUCGAGAAGUGGAAACCCUAGAGAGAGUGAGGUAUAUACAGAGUUCUUGUUUCUUCUCGAGGAAGCAGCGAUCGAGGGUGUGGGAGUGGGGGUCGUAUAGGAGCUCGAAGCUGUUGAAGAUCUCGACGGUGCGGCCGCGCUGGACGCCGAUGACGCACCCGAAGACGCGCGGCAGAGGAGGCAGUGCUGCGGCGGCGGUCGCGGCGUCGCCGCCGUUGGCGGCGGCGGAAGAGGCUGAGGCGGAGGAGAGGUGCUGGUUCUGGGCCUUGACGCGGGUGUGGUGGUCGGAGAUGUUGAGGAUCACGAGAGGGUGGAGCUUGAAGGUAAGCCCACUGCUUGAGGACGACGCCAUGGCGAAGGGGAAGGGGGAAGGGGGGAGAGAGAGAGAGAGAGAGAGAGAGAGAGAGAGGAGCUCUACGGAACGGAGCAGUUCGAGGUGGAGAUGGGCUUCGGCGUAGAGGUUGUACACGGAGAGCUUCGUGUGUGUGUGCAUAUAUAUAUAACCGCUACACGGACUUAAGGACUAGAUCCGGCAUCGCCCCAUACUUCGUCGCCGACUUCAAAGGGUGAAACCGGAAAACGGUGCCGUAAUUUUUUUUAGAAAGAUUGCAAAUUUUAUAAGAAAUAAUAUUCUUUCGAUGAUCUUAGUUAUAAAGCCGUAAAAAGUAAAUAAACUCAAAUUAAAAUUUAAUAGUCAAAAUGUAUGAAUGAAAAAAAAAAAUAAUUUUGACAGUUCAUAUAGAUUAACUUUUUUUCAAUUAUUAUUAUUAUUAUUAUUAUUAUUAUUUUCCUCCGCAUUCAGAGAGACGACCCAUCGACCACGAGCUUGGUGGGCCCCGUUAAUAAAACAAGUCGAGAAGGGUGAGGUCACCGGGGCUGUAUUGUACGCAUCGCAACCGCCACGGCCGUAGUCCACCAAAGCGAGCGAGCGAGCGUGGAGGCUCUCCGCUUUAUUAUCUCCUUAAAACCCCGCUCACGGCCCCGAUACCGCGUUCCCUUCCCCCCCACCCCGAAAUUAUAUAAAGCGAGCGACGCGAACUUCAUAGGAGUUCUCGUCGAUUCGAUCGGAAUCGAAGCUUGAGGAGGAGAGAGGAGAGACGAGGAGGAGUACGAGGAGGAGGAGGAGGAGGAGGAGGAGGAGGUGAGGCGGUGGCCAUGGCGAUGCGCGAUCUAGUCACGGGGGGCGCGGCGUGCGCGGUUCCUGGCUCCUCCUCUUCCUCGAACCCCUUCGGUGCCCUCGCCAACGCGAUCCUCGGAUCGUCUUCGAAAACUCAGGUGCGCGUUCAUUUCCCCCAAAAUUUUCUGAUUCAUGCAUGAAUUCUAGCUAGUUUGAUGGAUAUCUUCUUGUUGUUCGUGAUGAUGUUGUAUGAAUUGGAGUGCUCGAGUUCGGAUUAUUUGAAUGAUUCUUUCCAAGAAACCUGUUCACGUGGUUCUGAACGGAUUCUGCUUCUUGAUAGUUGUUUAUUCUUGUUACAGAGCUCGCUCGAGAGGUUAUUUAGGUUUAAUGACCUGGUAGCUAUCGUAGUUUCUGGUUCUGUGAUGUUCUUCAAAGUAGUCGACUUUGGAUAAUCGGAAAAAUUAUUCUUAAGAAGCCUGUUUACAUGACUCUGAACCAAGCCCACUUGGUUCAGAUGAGAAUUCUAGCUGUGGGACUUGUUCGAUCGGAAUACUAGGGUUAAUUCACUGAUAACUAUCUAAUAAUUCUUGGACGUGUCAUGUGUUUUUGAAGUACUUACAAUAAUUGGAAUCAUUCUUGUCAAGAAGCCUGCUUAAUGAUUUAGAAAUAAGGCCACUUCUUGAUAGUUGAAAUUAUCUUGAUGCCCGUGUCUUGUAUUCUCAACUUGAAGUCUAUCCAGAUCCGUGUGAACCUUUCUAUGUUUUCAACUUCUCUUUCUUCAACUUUGGAUCUAGUUCUUGUUUCCCUUUUAUAACACUUUCCCAUAGUGCUUGAUUGUAGUUGAUUACUUUGAUUGCUAUCCUUUCUGGAUGUGAAUGUCUUGUCGCUUAGUAUUUUCACAACUUCUUCAUGUGCUGAACUUACCUGAGAUAACAUGUAGUAUAAAUCAAGUAACAUAUUUUCAUGUCGCUUAGUAUUAUGAUGAUUUUAUCAUCCUAUUGGUUGGACCAGUGCUUUAAUCUAUUUAGUAGUGAAGUUAAAAAGCAGAAAUGACUAGUGUUGAAUCAUGACUCCAUAGUGCAUAAGAAUGGAGUAACCUUCCAACACGUCCAUAAUUGUUAAUUUUCUCAGAUUAUCAACCUAAGGUAAGUCCAGGACAAUGUGCAUUUGUUCACUUUUCCUUUUCUGCAGUAUCUUUUUCGUCCUUUUGCCUGCUUUUCCUUUGAUAACUGCUAUCUUUUGACAGGAACUAAAGGGACUUCCUGGUUCCGCAGUUAAUGUUCCUGAGGCUUCUUCUGACUAUAGGCCUGCAGCUCCACUGACUACCAUUCCAGGGUCAGAAUAUGAGAGCCAACAGGACCAACGACCAGAUGCCCGGGUAAAAUUAUAUUCCAUUUAGGUCCUGCGUAAUAAUUUUUAGCUUUUGUAACUGUAAUCAACUGUCUUCAGACUUCUGAAUUCCUCCAUGGAUUCCAUUCUACGGAUCACGGUGGCCUUGCAGAAGCCUGGGAUGAAAUUCAUCGGUCUCCAGUUUUUCCUCCUGCUCAGUUCAGAGAAAAUGAGGCCCACUUUGAAGAGUUUGAGAGAGUUUAUAAUGCAAAUCCCCUUCAACCCACUUGGGAUGGUAGGUUUCGUGAUAGUACUUUUCCUAUAUAAGUUUUCUUUUUAUUACUAUAAGUGUUAGACAGUUUAAUAUUAUUGUUGAUUCACUAUAAUACCAUGCACUAAGAGCUUGCCCAGAUUGCAACUGGUUUCUUGCGUUUUCUUGUUAACUUGCUGUUUUUUUGCCCUGAGUUAGUGUUCUCUAGGCGGAAUCUGGCCAGAAAUAUUAUCUUUAAUUUUCUGUUGGAGUUUCAUCACAACAUAAGCUUCAAAACAAGUUUAGGAUCUUUGUGCACUGUUUUCUUUUAUAAUAUAACUGUAGAAUUUGUUGGAAGAUGAUCUUUUUUUUACCCUGGAUUCAGGUUUGGAUCUUGAUCAUUUUUUAAGUAGCACAGGGUUUGUUCUUCAACUUUUCUUCUUGACUUGCCCCUUUUUUUUUUUCAGUUCUUUCUUUCUAUCUAAUUAAAAUGCUUCUGUCUUACAAUGUAAUUAAUUAGAAUGUAAAUUUAAUUAUGCAUGUGUGCGUGAACACACCUUUCAAUUCAUGAAUUGAUGCCCAUCUAGUUGGGGGGAUUGAGUAAGACUUGAGCAUCUUAUAUUUUGGAUUCAAUGUGACUUAUGCGAAACCAGCAAUGGGCUAACUGGUUAUGGAAGUUGUUGAGGUUAAGGGGCCUAUAUUUUUAAGAUCAAUAAGCGGAAGGUAGAUACAGGACUUUUCCUGGUGUGCUGGGCUUAUGCCGUCUAGUAAGCAAAACAAUUCACUCAGGGAAAUAUUUGGUGCCCUAGGUUAUUAAAACUAGAAAAACAUUUCAAUAUGUCAGAGGAAUUUUUUGUCCCAAAGGUUAUUGAAACUGCAUGACAAUUUUAUUUGCCAUAUCAAAUGAUGCAGCACAUUUUACAAUUUUUUUUUACAUGUUUAUUAUUUUCAAUAUUGAUGCAUCUUGGUUUUGCAGGUCCACCACAGAGAGUCUUGUCUAGUGUCCUGCAUUCUUUCCUUGGCAGUGAUCAAGCUGGUGUUCCUUUCCGCCCGACUGCACUGCCAGUUCUUGGGUUAUCAGAAGGUGACAAACAAUGCAUACGUGAUCGUAGCUGCAUAAUGGCACGCCACAUUUUUGCUGAUAAGAGUGAAGAGUACAUUCAAUCACAGGUUUUUACCACAAUCUCUCAUGGUUUCCAAUGUCUAUUAUCAUUUAUGUGGCUGCUAAAUAUUAGAUAUUUAUACAGGAAUACUAGUAAAUAGAUGUUUUUUCAGGAAUGUACGUGUAGAAGCCCCUUUUUUUUAAGCAAUCUUAUCAUUUCUUUGUUUCUUUUCCUGUGGAUUGGCCCGUAGAGAUGUGUGUUUCUGUUUUUGUUCUGGUUUGAUAUCUGACAAAUAUCUGUCUCAGGUAAAUGCAUUGCUGCACUCUUUAGAUAUUGAUAGCAAUCAUCAAAUCAGAGGGUCCAUGCAUGGACCUCAUUCAGAAUUGGAGGGAUAUUGGAACGAGUCUCAAGGUGCCAUGAUACCUAGGAUGCCUAAUCCUGUAGAUGGUUGGAUUACAGAAUUUAGCCAACAAAGAGAAAAUGAUAACCCUGCAGCCUGGGCCAAUUCCUUCGAACAAAUGCAUGGUGCUAAUGGCUGGGCUUCUGAAUUUGAGCAGGUCGGUAAUCUUUUAGAUCAUGUCAAAUCACAUUCAUUUCUAUAGACUAGUAUAGAUCAUGCAAUAAGCCGAAUGCUCUUGGUAGAGGUACGUAAACAUUUCUAUUUCUCCAUUGUCUUUUUGAUAUAUGAAAUGCCAUAUGGAUGUAGUGCUACAAUUCUCUUCUAUUCAUCGCAGAUAAAAAAAAUUAUCAUAUAAAACACUGGUGCAGUCUAGUGGAAAGAGAUAAUAUGUUGGAACUGGACUAACUGAAAUGUUUCUUUGAUACUGUUUCACUUGGAAGUUAAGAAUUUUGAUCAUGAAGGAAGUCCAUCUAUCUCCUGAUUAUGAAGAGAUUAUUGGCUAAAAUAUUUCGAUACAUGAAAAGUUUGUUCUCGAACAACAAUAUAUACCCACAAAAGUACCUCUCCUUUCAUUUUAUAUAAAUUGAUCAACUUUACAUACCCUUUUUUUCACUCUGUCAUUUAUAAAAUUGACUUCACAGUAAGAAAAAUCUUAUUUAAUCUAUUUAAUCAUGGAGUUCAAUAAAUCAAACAGUUCUUCCGUGAUAUUUGCUGCUUGAGUUUUCAAGUUCUGCCAUUUAAUCUGAUAAAAAAGGUGGGGGGAAAGAAAAUCGUCGCCUUUCUUUUUUUUUACAACUAGCUAGUCAUUAUACAGAAUUAGCUAAUUAGCAGUGUCUCAUUCUUCAAGACUUCAACGAGAUAGAUAGUAGCUACAUUAUCUUCUUAUUUAACUUCUUAUGAAUCAUAAACCCGUGAAGCAUCCCUCUAUUAAAGGCCAUAUCUUCUUUUUAACUUUUCAAUGGUGAUGUUUAGAAACUUGGCUUUAAAAUGCUAUUCUGAUCAACAUUGUUAUGUGUUGCUUUGAAUUCAUAAUUUUUAUUCCCUUUUUUUUUUCUUCUUUCUGUCUUGGUUAGGUCUGCAAUAUCCUGCAUCUUGUUAUUGUAUGGGUGCUUCUGUACAGUGUGUCAUAUCUGUACUUUGUAAUUUGUAAUCUGAUUGUUAUCUGUUUCACUUUAUUAUAGGAUCUAAAAAUGGGUCACAUGAGAGAUGCAAACUUAGCUAACUUAGCUGCAAUGGAGCAGAGCCGUAUGCUUGCACAGACAUUAGGACAAAAUAGAGACCCGAAAUUUCAGGUAUAUGAAUUCCAGUUUCGGUAUAAAUCAUGCUGGUUAUGGCACUUUUCUUCUAUUAGCUUGCUUUUUAACAUACGAUUGUUCUUUUAAAUUAAUCUACUUCGUCGAUUUUUACAGUCUUUGUUAGGAAAUUCAAACAUCAAUUUGCUUCUAGUUUGUAUUAUGAUAUGAAUGCUGGAUUUUCUUGAUUUAAAUUGUUCAACAGUUUAAUGCUACCUUUGCAUCCAGGGCCUAUAUUUGUCCUACCGGGGAAAAUAUUUGCACAUUUCCAAUAUCUUUCCCUGGAAGCAUAAUCACUAUUUCAAUUAGAAGUUAAAUAGCUUAGAUUGUUUCAUGGCCUAUAGGUCCUCGCCGAUGGUUUCAAACCAUCUCGACACAGUACACUACAACCAAAUUAAAAUACACGAAUAGCAUAACCUAUUUUUUUGAUUUAGUAAUUUAAAUAUGUCUAUGCAUAAUAUUGGAAAAUAUUACUAGAUUAAUAUUACCUAUAUAAGGCAUAUUUGUAAUUUAUUCUGCAAUUAGUCAUAACUUGAUUUUUUUUUUUUUUUUUAGUUUGAGGGAGUAUUGAUUUACCAGUGCUGUGCUUGAUGAAACUAUUUUGUUUUUGAACUAUAUAGAUAUUAUGGCUUGCCAAUGUUCCUCUUGUUGCCUGUUUUUAGUUGAUCAAAAUUCUGGCGAAUUGUCUAAUUUAUCAUGAUCACAAGUAUGUGAAACUAAAAAUAUGUUAAAAUGCAAGAAAGGCAAUGAAGAAAGAGUCUUCCAUUAUAAGGCUGUAGAAAGUCUGAGCUGUCUUACAGCCUAAUACUUCUUGCUAUAGUAUAUUGGAACUAAUAUUAUAGGUCUAGGCCUAAUGCAUGUCAGAAAAAUAUAAGGUGUUUAUGACUCUUCUACCAUGACCUUCUCAUAUAGAUCAUCUCAAAAGCUUGAUACUUAAUGGUGUGUUUAAUUGUCCUUUUACCCCAUUUUGUGGCAUUUUUUUUCUAAAUUUUCUGUCAUAAGUGGCUGAUGUCAUUUUCAUGCUUCACGCUAUGCAAGAAAUCAAAGUUUCUACAGUUUGUUUCAAAGAUGAGCCGUGGUGAGCUUAUAAUUGAUGAGAACCAAAUCAAGCCGGGUACAAACUCUCUUGCUGGUGAUUGGGCUAAUGAGUAUCAAGCGCAGUAUGAUGUUGGCCCAAAGUCUUGGGCAGAUCAAUUUCAACAAGAAGAGGUAAAGUAUAUAUGUAUGUAAUGUAAUGCAGCUAUGUGUUUAUUUUAUCUAUGCUGAAAGUAUAUGUAUACACAUAUAAACUAGACAAGGUAGCUAUAAGACGCCAAACUUGCUAGUGCUUAUUUGCCUUCAGAUCUGCAUCAAGAUCAGUGUGUACAUAUACAUAUUCAGUACACUGGCACACAUCCUGAAAGUCAUGAAUUGAGUUUGCGAAUCUUUGUCUACUGUAAAUUAGUUUUGAGUUAAAAAAAAUGACUUGCGCUAUUGUGUUUUUGAAGUUUGGGUUCUGAGAUAACCUCUUCUUGCAAGCUAACUAUGUAUAACACUAUAUUCUUGUAAUCAGCUUUCACGAGGAACAGAUAACUGGGUGCAUGAGUUCUCUAAGGAACAUCAGCGGCCAGAUGAAAAGUGGGUCGAUGAGUUCUCCAAAUUGAACAUGAAUGACUGGGUGGAAGAAUUUGGUCAGCAGGUCAGUGAAGGAGCUUUUGGGGAAAGCUCUGCUGAUGUGUGGGCAGAUGAUUAUGACAAGUAAGUUUGAUUGUGAACUUCUGGGCAACUACAAAAUGUGCUUAAACAUUUUUUGUUAAACACUUCUUUAUUUCUUAUGCUGGCCUUUGACUUUUAUGUCUUUUCCACCUGAAUUUUAACUUUUCUUAUUUUUGAGAAUUUCCUUCAUCAUGAGUGAUUAAUCACAACCUCGAAUUUUCAUUGAUUGACCAUUAUCUGUGUAAUAAAAUUACCAUAAACAGCACAUCCGCCAAAAUUAAUGGGUGACCCAAAAUUAGGUAAAAGAAAGGGGAAAAAGAAUUGGUGAAAGUUAAAAGUGUUACCAAUCACAAUGACAUAUGAUGAUGGGGUCCCUGUACUUUUCUGGCUUAAUACUAGUGUUCUACUAAAAGUACAUGUGAUUAAGUUUCGAGAACUUCUUUAUGCAUUAAUCUAUUAUUUUAUGUAGAUACCUUGAUGACCAGUUACGGGCAUCCAAGCAGCGGUCUGGUGCUUCAAGAGGGGUUUAUGUAUUCUCUGACAUGAACCCUUAUGUUGGUCAUCCCAAUCCGUUGAAGGAAGGGCAAGAACUCUUCCGGAAAGGACUUCUAAGUGAAGCUGUUCUUGCUCUCGAGGCAGAAGUUCUGAAGAAUCCUGAUAAUGCUGAAGGGUGGAGGUUGCUUGGAAUAACACAUGCAGAAAAUGAUGAUGACCAGCAGGUGACUUGAUGUCUCUCAAACUUUAAUCAUAAGCUUUGUCUAGCUUGGUGCUGAGUUUAUUAUAUUAGUCUACCAUGUGUCUUGUCUCCUGCUUCCUGUCAUCCUGUUUGCCAUUGACAGCAAAAAGCAGGAUGUUAGUUAUGCAUGCUAUGUUCACUUAGCACCCAUAUAGCAUAAAUUAGCACCUAUAUAGCAUAAAUUAGCACCGAUAUAGGAUAAAGUGCUGGUCAAUUGACAUAAUGAUGUAUUCUUCUUCUGAAUAAUAGAGAUUAGAGUGCAGGUUCCACUGUAGGAAAGUUUAUUUUGGGGUUGUGAGAAGUCUUAGUGUUCUAAGGUCGUAUAAGGCUUCUUUAUCUCUUUGAAACAGUUGUGAAUCCCCUGCAAAUUAGAUUAUCUUUAUGAAUUCCCUGCAUGAUGCUUAAGAAGUAACAACAGUGGAUUUGCUUUCAUUUGCUUGAAUUGAUUGUCCUACUAAACACAGAAUCUGAAGAAGAAACUGUUCAAAGUUGGAGUAUUUUGAGUUCCCAACUUUCUUGCUAAUUGCUUCUUAUUGUUUCAGGCUAUUGCAGCUAUGAUGCGAGCCCAAGAAGCUGAUCCGUCAAAUUUGGAAGUUCUUCUUGCUCUUGGUGUUAGUCACACCAAUGGUUAGUUGUUUCUCUCAACUGGUUGAAUUAGUGCUUCAUUUUUUUUAGUUUCUGUAUGUCAAGUAUCUGAUGUUGCAUUCUUUGCCCUGUUAACAUAAUAUUUGCUGAUAAACUAUAUACACUAUGAUAGUUCUAUGUAGAAACAAGAUACUUAAGUUCAACAAAUUUUACAAGAAUAUUAUAUAAUGACUUCUGCUACGUAAGUACCAUGCAUGAAGACUGGUAAUUUUUUGCAUCGACCUUAGAGGUAGAACUUUCCGGUCAAACAAUUGAGCUUUGAAUCUUGAGAUGGGCAGCGUCACCAGAAAUUUGGAGCAGUCAAUUUUGUUGGUAGUAAUAGUCUUCUGUAUUGGAAAUUUUGCUAGUUCUAACUCACAUGAAAGAGGAGUAAUAGGGUGUUUUAAUGUUUAGAAGAACGAAGCUGAAUCUUGUACUUUAUGUGAUUGCAUUUCCUCUUUGCUGUUCGGCUGUAGCAAAUGAAGAUGGCAAAGUUCUCCAUGUCUGAGCAUAGUCAAUCUUUUUUUCCAUGGUGAUACCAUAUAAACUUGCAUUUGCAUUUGGCCGUUGUCGGUGAUGGUGUCUUAUUUUAUUUUAUGGUCAUUUCAACAUGUUUAGUAUUUUUAUUGCAUGUGCACUUGCCUUUCCUGUCAUCCAUAUUGUCCAUAUUGCUCUACUGAUAAAUAAUAUAUCCAUAACAUUAGGGUGGAAUGAUGCUAUGGUUUUCCCUUUUCCUUUUUUUACCGCAGAGUUAGAGCAAGCUGAGGCGUUGAAAUAUCUUUAUCGGUGGCUUCAAAACCAUCCAAAAUAUGGGUCCCUUGCUCCUGUACAGCAGGCAGAUUCUCUGUAUUAUGCUGAUGUAAGUGCCAAAGACAACUGCUUAUGCCCUUUUUUUCUUUUUUGUCAAGUAAGCAUAAAACCUAUCUUUUCUUGUAUACUAUCUUAACACACUAUUCGUCACAACUGAAGAGUUGAUCACUUCAAAUCCUCUGAUUUAAUAGUUUACUACUAGAUAGACAGGUUAAUGUUUUCGACGGACCAGAAAUCAUGCCGUAAGCAAUUUAUUGGGGCACACCCAAGAUUGUGGACAAUUGACCAUACCCUUUUUUUAAAAUUCUUUUGUAGUUUUUACAAAGGUAGAUCUUGAAGGAGCAUUCUAGUUCAUAAGCUUUGGUUUUUAAUGGAAAUUGGUUAAUUUGAAUCAGGUUGCGAGGUUGUUUAAUGAGGCUGCUCAAAUGUCACCAGAGGAUGCUGAUGUCCAUGUAGUGCUUGGCGUCUUAUACAAUCUAUCCAGAGAAUAUGACAAAGCUAUAGCAGCUUUUCAGGAGGCACUAAAGAUCAAACCGCGUGACUACUCUCUCUGGAACAAGCUCGGUGCAACCCAAGCAAACAGCGUUCAGAGUGCUGAUGCAAUAUUGGCGUACCAGCAGGUAAAAAAGACAUUUAUUUUCUCUUUUUCCAUGCAAUGUUGGUUGUCUGUGCUCCUAUUUGAUACUAUGCAUGUAUUGGAGUACUGCAGUGACCCUUUUUUUUCCUUUUAUGGCACUCAGGCUUUAGAUUUGAAGCCCAACUAUGUUCGUGCAUGGGCAAAUAUGGGCAUUAGUUAUGCCAAUCAGGUUUGUUCUUUUCCAAGGCAAUAACUUAUUGUGCUCAUUCUUUUACGACAAAAAAGUUCAUCUACAGUUUGCUUGCUUUCUUUCCUUACAGCUCUCUUUCCGUUUUUGGUGCGCCAGCAUUUGCUAGCUCUAGUAAAGUUUUGGAGUUUCUUUUUUUUUGCCCCCCUGUUUCGCUCUUAUAAACUUUUUUUUUCCUCCUUUUCAGGGUUUAUAUGAAGACUCUAUUCGGUACUAUGUUAGAGCACUUGCUAUGAAUCCUAAAGCAGAAAAUGCUUGGCAGUACCUACGGAUCUCUCUCAGGUACUUAAGUGAGCAUUUCCUCUGUUGUUUAUUUGCAGUCAAUACCAAAGAACAAAAAAGACAAGAAAAUGUAAGCUAUAGACAUGAAAAGUAAAUCUUUCUUAGAUGGAGAAAAUAACAUGCUAUAUUCUCUUUCUUUGAUACAGCUGUGCUUCUCGGAACGACUUGUUUGCAGCUUGUGAUUCACGUAACCUCGAUGUUCUCCAGAAAGAGUUUCCGCUGUGAUUGUUGUACUUUGAAGCAAUAUUCUUGUGUAGGAUCUCCAAUCCGAAAUGGAAGCACCUCAAAAUUAGAUUUUUUUUUUAAAAAAACUGUUAUUAUUAUUUUAUACACACACUAAUGCAUGGUCUUCAUUACCAGAAUUUUUGGUUCUUAAAGAUAAUCUUUCUAAUGAAAAUGAAAAUACUGAAUAAUAACCAAAUCAGAGGCUGGAGUGGCUUUGGAUCAACUAUUAGAAGACUAGGCUUCGCAAGGAGACAUUGUGAACUGCGAUUCAAAAUAACAAAAACAUUCACCUUCUUGAGCCUAGUAAGCUUUCUUUUAAGCAUAAAACUUUGGAUCUUAACAGUGUAACUUAUUGGAAGAUAGAUAAUUAUAGGAAGUGGUAAUGUCAUCAUUGUAUGAAAUGGGCAAACACAAUUCAAGUUCGUUUCUACCAUACACCGGUAUAUACUUCUGUUAGUGCACAAGAUGAAUUUCCAAAUGUAUUGCAGCGGCCGUAUGUUGAAUUCUUAGUUAAAUAGCUGUCAUGCCAUGCUACCGUACAGGCACCACAAUAAAGAACAAUAAUCAAGGUCUGGUUGAUUUUUCUGUAUGAUCAAGGCUUUUUUGUGUGCUAUCUCUAAUACCUGGAACUCCUCCAGUAGACUGCAGUCAUAGAUUCUAUGAGCACCUAAAGUUGAUUGAUUGAUGAUAAGAACGUUCCGUAGAAACGAGGGAGGAUCCAGAGUUUUCCAUAACAAAACGAAAAAAAAAGUGAAAGUCACACACAAACAUUACAAACUACAAGAGACGAUGAAUGACAAAUGGUGAGGCGUAAGUAGGGAUAAUACCAAUCAGAGUAAACAAUCGGUCACUAAUACAAUAUUACAAUCCAUUAAUCAGACUAAGGCAAUCAACUGAUUCAUUCAAAUAUUGAACAUGUAAAGACACCAAUGUAACCCACAGGGGCCACCACUAAAUUAAGGCAUUUUGAAAAAGAAAGGAAACAUGCUUUCACAAACACAGUUUUCGAUGCUGCUGCACGAGUGUAACCUGACGUACCUUUCGAUAGCCAACAGCUUUCUAUUGUCUUAAAUAGUCUUAGGCAAAACUAUUUAGCUCCGCUCUUGUUGCCUCCCGUGUCAAUUGAAUUCAGCCUCGAGAAACAUGAUGAAUUCCUGUCAUGAGGAGAUAAGAAACACCACAGGUUUAUUGCUACAAACACCCUUAACAGGCUCACCGCCUGAACGCAUUACUUUCGGUGGCGGCCAACCCCCCUUGUGAGUAAUAAGCCCGCCGCCGAACACUCUCUUCGAUUGUAGAGCUGCCCCCUUUCUCUGUUCCAAAUAUACUCUUCUGAGCCUCAUCUAAGAAGUUCUUUCCCCUCGACGAGUUUGCUCUCAUUGCCUCUUGCACAUCGGCAUCUGCCGCUUUCUUUAGGCGCUUCCACCUCUGCUCCUCAUGGAGCUCUGCAUCAAGCUGCAUCUCUCGUAGCCGGGCUGCCCUCUCUUCCUCCGUCAUCUUUACAACACCCCGACGAUGCCGAUUAUAGCCAGCUCCCUGAUGUGUGUUAUGUUGGUUUGUUUCCCUUUCUUCAGCCUUCUGUUGUUCACUCUCUCUUCUAUCUUCCACUUUUCCAUCUCUUGAACUGUUGCCUUUUCUAUCUCUUGAAUGGGUGUAAACUUCUGACAAAUUCUUUUCAUACUUCGGGUUACUAUGAUGAUGAUCUGAUGUUGAAUAAUGUCUGGUUCUUCUCUCCUCUUUACCAUCAACUACGUCUCUUGAAUCUGAUCGAUCUCUGCGCGCAUGCUUAUCAUGCUUAACUGACUGAUGGUCCCUUUUUCUUCUCUCCUCGAUGUCCUCUGAAUCUGAUCGAUCUCUGUGCGCAUGCUUAUCAUGAUUGACUAACUGAAGGUCGCUCUUUCUUCUCUCCUUGAUAUCCUCAGAAUCUGGGUAAGUCCUAGAGUGUUUUCCGUGCUUUGAUUUACUAUACUCUCUCUGAGCACUGGAUGGACGAUCUCUCUUUCUUUUCUCUUCCUCACCAUCACUCAUGUCUUCUGAAUCCGAGCGAGCGUUGGAUGGGUACUUGUCGCUCUUUGACUUGUCAUGAUGAUGCUUCCUGUCCCUUUUCUUUUCUCGUUUUUCCUUCUUUUCUUGCUUCUGUUUCUUCUCAACUUCUACCUGUAUAAUAAGAGGUAUGUGUUAGAAAAAUGUGAAUAGCUUCUUUUUUUUAAAUUUGUGAAAUCAGUUUUAAUAUAGCAAACGUAAUAUAAGCCUUUUAAGUUCCAUACAAUUUGUCCCUUGGAUGUCUGGAAGAAAAAAACAUUUACCAUUGCAGUAGCCAUGAGAACACUAAGAUAUUAGUGAAGAAUCUAUUUUGUGCAGAAGAAGUGAUAGUCACUAAACAUGAGCUAAGUAAUAUUUCUAUAGGAACAUAUUUAACCAAAUUCCAACGAGUAGCAGAACAGUUUUUUAGGUUACAAGAUGCUUGGUCAAAAAAGUUAAGAACACUGUUAAAUUCCAUAAAAAUCUAGGUCAUCAAUCAAACUUUUAAACUUCAGUUGAUCAUUUCAAAUGCAUCUCGACAGAGUGUUUAUACAAUUCACUCUAUGAUAUUUUCAGAAUUAUUAAGGUAUAAGUCAAGUUUAUAGGUUAGAAAUCUGUGAUAUUUUAUAGGCGAAAGCAGAAAAAACACAACUUUAAGGACUCGUCUGUUUCACGGUUUGCGAUAAUCCAGCAAUCUUCAAUAUUUUCACCCAUAUUUUCUAUUGAAAACAAUAUGCUAAUCAUUAUCAUUCAACUGAAAUUAUGUUAGAGAAGUAGAAUCAUUGUAGAUUCCUUGAUGGUAAGAACACGAGAUUACCAUUCUCAUGUUCAUACUUGAUGGGAAUCAUUAGCAGUACAUUAAUAAUAAUACUAGUUCUUAACAACUUUCCAACCCAAGUGACUUAAUAAUUUAGUAACAAACUUGCUAUUCCAAAAAGAAAAUAUACAACAUUCUCCGAAUAUUACAAACCAAACAGCACCUAAGUGUAGCAUAUGUUAAGUUCACCUAAAGCAAUGGCAGAGCAUAGUUAUGUAAAACAAUGGGGAUAAAUAAAUAGGACAACUUACAGAUUUCUUUAUCAUCGCCAUCUUGAUGGGGUUGUUCUUUAUCCGGGCGACGGCUUCCUGCUCACGUUGUCGAAUGAGUAGCAAGGGAUCAGAGUGGAGUUUCCUCCACGCAUCAUUUGCCGACUGGGGCUUAUCUUCAAACAAAGCCCCGGGAGCACCUGACUGCGACUGGCAAUGAUAAGAAUAAGUGAUAAGAAGUUUAUUCGCCCAAAUAACGAAUAGAUACUCAAUAGAUAGCAUAAAUAUACAAAAUAUUAAUCAAACCAGGAAGCUAGUCAAACAAGCCUCAACUUUGAUGGGCUGAGUCGCUAAGAUCACAACCACCAAAAUAUAAGGGUUUAUAUCUAUGUAACUCGGUCGUUCGUCAUGAGUAAUCAAUGAAAGCAUUCAAUUUCUUAAACAUCAAGAAUUAAUAUUACAACUAUUGUGCUAAUUAAAUUAAAGCUCAAACUGUAACAAGAAAAUCUUUCAACAAAUCGGACCUCGGGGGCUAUUCCUCUAUCUCAGAACCUGGCCCUCCAUUUUUUUUCAGGAAACUCGAAAACCAGAAAUCACGGACGACUUCAGAAGUGGAAGAGAGCAAAGACCCGCGAGGCGGUAGAUAAAAGAAUCAAAAGACCUUGCCAAUACCAAGCGAUAAAAGCUUUGCAUCCGAGCAGUUCAACAUGAUCUACGGAUAUUUGGACGACUACUGAUCUAGAUAAAGGAUUAGAACGAGGGCUUCUGCAUAAUUCUCGUAAAAUCUAAAGCAGCAAACAAGUUACAAACUACAAUUACGAAUCUGACAGAUAAGAAAGGUUACCUUGGAGGAGCUAGCCUCGGCGGCGGGCGCCGGAGGAGGAGGAGCAGCCGCAGGCUGCAGCGCCUUGAAUCCAUCGGAGCUCCCUUUACCCACGCCCAAACCCGACUCGUAGAGGAAAUCCAACCGCUCCUGCUUCCUGCACGGAUCAAUCGAGAAGAAGAACAGGUCAAUUUAGCAAAAGACCGUAGGAGGUCCGAAAGGAGGGAAACCCUAACCCUAACCCUAACCCUAAAAUCUGAGGUGAGGAAGCUUACGGGACGAGUCCGGCUUGCUCCUGGAGGAGGCGGAACUCGGAUCGCUCGCGCUCGUCCUGGAUCUGCUUGCGGAGCUCCUCGAGCUUGCGCUGCUCGGCCUCGUGCUUCUGCUCCGCCUUCCACACGUUCUCGAUGUUGCGGAGGCUCCCCGUGUGCCAUCCCUUCUUGUUCAGAAACUUCAGAGCCAUGUCCUCUCCCUCUCCCUCUCCCUCUCCCUACACCUUCGUCGGGACCGGCGGAAAAGAAAAUGAGUGAAAAUUCUUUUUUUUUUAAAAAAAAUGUCGGAAGAAGAAGUAGAGGGGAAAGGAGAAGACGAGGGAGGGGAGCGCGAGAGGUGUCGCGCGACCUGUAAGACGAUGAGAAACGAGAUGGUAAGUUAACAAGUUAUAUGUUUCGCUUCGUUACGGUCACCGCACCAUUCGCACGAGUCGGAGACUCGGAACCAGUUUAAUUAGUUAGCUCGUCUUGAUGAUAUGAUAUGUCGGUUCACUCGUUCACUUGCCAAGGAAAAUCCGGAUUGGCCCAUCCCGGCCAUCUCAGCCCGGCCCAAUAGCGGUGUAUUAACGGAUGGGAUUACCACGAUAACUAACUAAUUAGGACAAAACUGGCUAAUUAAUACGAGUCUUACUUCAGUAUCAUCAUCAUUAGGAUCCAAGUUAUCUCCAUUAUAUUAACCAAGUCAUACGAUUUUACCAAAACGGGUAACGAUGAAUCUACCUAUAUUUAUCACAACAAAGUUAGUAUGGACGAAGCUAUAGUAGUUUCGAGGAAGUGGCAAAAAACUUGGCCGUUGGUACCUGAGGUUUCAAGUUCGAAUCUUAGUGUGCUACCUAUCUCUCUCAAAAAAAAAAAAAAAAAAAGUUUCGAGGAACGCCAGCGAACAACAUCAAAUAGUAUAAACUUGCAUCACCGCAACAAAUAAAAUCCUCCAAUCACGUGAAUUUUGUAAUUCCUGCUAUUCACGGGAUAAAAGUCGUCGUGAAAACAUGCAGAAGAUAUAUUAUUAAAAAAGAAAAAAAGAAAAAAAAAGAAAGAGAAUGAAAAAUCUAACAUACCAGUAAGAAUCUCUGUUAGAUUAAGUACAGGAGAUGGUUCCAUAAAAGUCAGGAGACGGGGGAUGAUUCACAGGCUUCUUUCAGAACAAAAACUUUAUACAGACUAAAGAAGCCUGUGAAAUUACAACCUACUGAAAGCACAUAGGUAGUAAUGAGAGCAGGAGAGUGCCCGAGACAAAUCUGAAUUCCUCCGAGCAUAAUUCAAAAUUUUACAAGAUUUCCCCCUAAAAUCCGGUCUUCUAAUUUACUUAAAUAGAAAGAAUGACCGUGUUUCCAACUUUCGCCCCUCCAUGCCUGCAGCUUGGCUUCUUGCUACAGCCAUUUCCUCCAGCUGGUAGACCUUUUAUCACCAGAUAAGAAUCGGGGAAGAUUCAAAAGGGAAUUAACCCUGGUAACACCUUCUAGGGCAGACCAUUCCUCUUCCUCUGCAGUGGAUAUGCAAUCCGCGAGCCUCCUCGGAGAUUGACUCCUCCCCGGCAUUUUCUCUACCUUGGUUCCUUCCUCAUUUACCGGUACAAUCUCGUCAUAAUCAUGUAGAGUGUACGAAUGUUGUAACGUGGAUGAUUUUACAUGUGCUUCGAUACUAAUGGGCCCUGGUGUUUCUUCCUGAUUUAAAUCUACUAUAUUAGAAGAAUCGGCGAUCAUUAUUUCCACCGAUUCCACAGAUGUCUUCUUUGGUUCAGUUUGCAGAGUUUGGUUGGCUGAGGAUUUGGUGUCCAAGAACAAGCAGACAACAGCACAGUCGUCGCUCUUUGAUGUUGGGAAUUUUAGUCUCCAUGAUCGAACAGCGCAAUCGACAAGAGCCCUAGCUGCAGUCGCACGAGAUGGGGCCGAUGCCACAAUAUCAACAGCUUCCUUGUUAGAGAGGACAUCCCAAACCUACAAAAAAAGAAAAGGAAAUUGGCAAAGGAAAAAAAAAUGUCUGCAUAUUCAUCUGUGUACGUAUGCAUGUAUGUAUUUAUUCUAGUCCAACAUUUGUUAUGCCGCCUGUGGAUAGCCUUGCAAAAGCUUGUGAAAUGGAAAAGACUCUUAACCAUAUAGAGGAAAAUGUAUAAAACAAACCAUCUUUUCCCAAAAUCCAACCUAUAAUAAAGUUGAAAAAGUUGACGAAAUACAAGUUCAAUAAAGUUUGGAUCAAGGAUUUAAGUGUCCAUCAGCACGGCCGUAUCUACCGUGCCGUAUCGUGCCAACAAGACAUUAGCACGACACAACUCCCGUACCGAUGGCACAGUUCAAAACUUUCUAUUUUUUCAAAUAAGUAAUUUUCUCAAUCAAGUUCAAAAUAUUUGAUAAAGAUACAAAAUAAAUUGUUUGAGUAUUUUGUUGCUAAAGAAAAUAAAUAUUUCAUGUCAUUACGUAUCAGCACACAAGUAUUUUUUGUGACUGACAUGCAUCGGUACGACUUGACACAUACUGUGCCGUAUCGUGGCGGCAAGUUUCAGCACGACCCUGUGCCACAGCACUUAAAUCCAUGGUUUGGAUAGUACACAGAUAUAUUGUUAUCAAGCUAAAAACAUGUAAGAGGACAGCAAUAGGCUUCACCUUCCGGCAGAAAUAGAUCACUUAAAAUUAUAUAAAAUAGCCAGCCAAACUAUCAAAAAAGCCUCAAGUAUUCUGAUCCCAUGCAUAUUAUGAGUUGUUAUUUGCUAAUACACUGAAAAUAUAUAGUAGGAGCUAUUGACAUUUUCCACGCUUUUAAAACAACAGUAAAAAAAAUUGGUUCUGGGAGAAGAAGAUACCCCAUCAGUAGCAAGAAUGAUGAACUCAUCUUUAUUGGUAAGGCGCCGAUAGGAUAUAUCCGGAACGGAUAUUAAGCCAUAGUCCUUGAGGCAAAAGUCCCCAAAAGCUCUGGCCAUUGCUAACCCAGGUGAGUCAUUGUUUGGCAACCAUAUAUAUAUAUAUAUAUAUAUAUAUAUAUAUAUAUAUAUAUAUAUAUAUAUCCCUGGAAAAUCAUCUAUUAGACAAAUCACCAGUAAAAUAUUGAUUUCAUAUAUAUACCCAUCAGUGAUUUACGUUCUCAUAUAUAUAAUACCCAUAUAUUUGUUUAGGGAGUCAUCCAAUUCAUUGAGGGAAGUUCUUUUUUUGCCUUUUUUUUUUUCCAUAAGACGGUUUUUUUAAAGAGCAGUGUUUUGGUAGCAAUGUGUGAGAUAUAAAUUUCUGAAGGGUAUUUUUUUAAAAAAGAAGUUUCUGUACUGAAUAAUCAAAACUAUUUAAAUUUAAUUUUCUCCAGUUAUAUGGCAUAUCUGCCAAUUGAUAUCUCAAGACUAAAUUAUGGAGAUAGGAGGUACUUAAGAAUUAACUGCAAAGUAGAAAAACAGAGUCAAAUUGCUAGCGAAGGAAAAGCCUAUUAUGCAUCAACUUCCUACUUGUUCUACAGCGAAAGUACAUGAACAUACUAGGAAGGUUGGGCUUCAAAUCGACAGUCAGCUGUACAGCAAUUAAAUUCUUUUCGUUAUCUCGUGUAGCCAGUAUUGCUCUUGAGUCUCCGAGAUUCCCAAUUACAAGAUCUAGUCCCUGGAGAAAUGCAAAUUGCGCAAAGUUGUUAAAGCCUGCAAAGUGGCGGAGAAAGAAACCAAGACUCAAAAGCUUCUCAUUUUAUUUCAGCCAAGUUGACUUCAUUUACUAAUGUUUAUGCAACAAACUUUUUGCGGAGAUCGUUAGCAUAAUCCAAGUCUUUUGCAACAAAUUGGGCCAUUUGAGCACAACUCAUGUAUGAGAAGGCUCAAACCUUCAGUUCCUCAAAAUAGCAAAAUAAAGAGAAAAACCUGCCACGAAAGCUAUAGUACAACUGGCAUGUAGAAUAAUCUAUUUUCUUGGCUAUAAUCUGUAAUCAUGUAAACCCAAGACCACAGAAAUAGUAGUCUAUUGCGUGUGUACGCCAAUCCCAACUUAGGAACCAAGAACUUUUUGUACACUGGCAGAAUAAAAGAAUUAAAAGAAUAGAAAACUCCGCAACUUAUCACCUGCUUUAUCACUGUAACAGCUGUAGUCCCACUGCAGAAGCAAUCGAUUGUUGGGUGAAGCUUUAGCUCUUUAUCCAUUAACUUGAAAGCUUUUAAAAAGGACUGUUUAAGUGGCAAAUACAUCUCGGGGAUCUUUUCGUUCUCAUCACAACAUAACGAUUCACUCCAUUCCUCAUCAACACUAACGGAUGCUGUCUCUUCAAAAUUCAUGCCCCCAGAAAUGCUAUUAUUUUGGCAUGGGCUAUCAUUGCCGUUAAUACUAGCUCUCCACAGAGUGAAUAGCUUGAGAGGAAGAGAAUCUCUAACUUUCCUGGCAACCAUAUGGCCGAAUGGCCCAUGACCGUCAAAUACUCCACAGAAGAUGGUGUCACUUCUUAAUACGAAAUUCUGCAGUCACACAAAUACAACAAGAAUUAACUAUGCUAAAAGUUUACAAACUAAAAGAAUACAUUUUGGAAAAUGCAGGUAAAUAAAGUUGACUGUAGAGUUAAAAAAUAAUUGAAUAUGCGCACCAUAGCCUAAGAAAAAGUUUCCUACCAAGAAUAACCCUAAAUGCCUGUAUUGGCACAUAUACCUCCCUAAAGUCAGUACCUGCAUCAAUGUAUCUGCAUCAUUUGGUAUUUCCACAAAAGUUUUCUAUUCAACCUCCAGCAGAGGAAAAAAAAAAAAAAACUUACUGCAUGGGCAAAAGUUUAAUUUUCCUUCGUCUUGUCAGAAAUGGAGAAAAACUGGCUAGAGUGAAUUGUCAGCUGUUUUUUCUAGUGAAUUUUGACUUGCGGAAUUUCAGGUUAUAAUUGUCUUUUGCUUGUCAAGGGUCAGAUGCAAACAUUUGAGAGGACAAGCAGACAGAAGGGCGUUAAUACAAAUACACCAGCUCAAAAAUAAUUUUUCGGGGUAAAAGCAUUAAUGAGUGUUUAAAGAGGUAUACAUGGAAAAAAAGAAAAAAAAUCAGCAAUGAAUUACCUAAGGAAACUAUAUCCUCAAAAUGCCAGCAGGCCUAAAAUAAGAAGAAAAGGAUAUCAUCAUCAUCAUCAUCAUUCGAGCCAUUUAUAAAUAGUGUGAAUCAGCUACAGCACAAAAAGAUGUAACGACUUCAACUAGUUUAAUAAGUUCUCAAGAUUGGUUGUCAACCUACCAUUUGACGUUCUAGAAAUUGAUACUAAAUUCUUGAAGGGAAAUCAGAAACUAGAGGGAUUUGCGAGGAUAGUUGUAUAAAGAAAUUCACUCGGAUAAAUAUAUAUGUAUGCAUAAACAAAUAUUCAUACACAAAUGAAUAUUAAGUGCAUAUGUGAAACAUAAACACAGCAAUAGAUAUUAAUUGUAUGCAUAGGCUAGAGAGGUGGGAAGGAGAGAUGGCAAAUUCUAAGGCAUUUUGUUUAUGCUUCAACUUUAUGGAUCCACUUUGGUGGGACUCUAACAGAGUGAUGAAUUUUUCCUCGAUUUCCAUAUUCUCUGUGAUAUUUAUAUGGAUCCAGGAAAUUUUACGAACUAUUAUGUAUAUCCCAGAAUUUUUCAACAAACAACAAGUACACCAAAUUAUUUGUUUUAUAAGAACAUGUUAGUUGGAUGUUGUCACACAUUCCAUGCCCACAUUACUUUGAAGUAAAUCGAUUGGUGUCUAAAAUGAUUCUGCAAUUGACACAAUAUCUUUUCCUUAUUAUUACAUAUGAAUUUAGUAAUUAAUCCAACAACAAAAGUUCAACCAUAUGAGUUCUUAGAUUACACAUAAAUGUUAAACAUAUUCAUACCAUUCUCACUUGCUUAAAUCCAAGAAGCACAUAUAAAUCAAACAAACCAAACGAGUGACUAAAUAUUAGCUAUGCGAAAACAACAAUAAUGGCAAAAGGUGUCCUAAAACAUCUUUCCACUCAAAUCAGAACGAAACAACCAAUGCGAUUCUUCCAUUGUUCCUCUAAAAAUGUUAUGAAACUUAAAAAAGAAAGAUUUAAAACAUUAAACCUAAAUCAAACCCUCUUAAUACAAAAACAAAACGCACUACUUAAAACAAAGUAUUAAUAAACUCGUAGAUUAGUUCAUAAACCAGUACCUCCCACACGAUCAUGGCGUCCUGAUUCGUCCCCUUCUUCCCCUGCUGCGUAUAGAGGGAAGCGACCUCGCUCGCCCCGUUCAGGAACAUCCGCCCCGGCACGCGGCGGAGCUCCUCCUCCGCCAACUCCCCUCCGCCGCUGCCUCCCGCCGCCGCCCCUCGCCGGUCGAACAACGCCCCUCCGCCACCGCCUCCGCCGCUCCCGCUCUCCGUCUUCUCCUUCGUCUUCCACCUCUCAGACCAUCUCCUGGACACUCCUCCGCCGCCCCCCGCGGCGGCGCCCCCGAGCGAAGCUCCCUCCGCCGCCGAGGGCGACGAUAAGCACAACCCCAUGGGAGGAGAGAGAGAGAGAGGGGGCGAGAUAGAGAGAGAGAGAGAGAGAGAGAUGGGGAGAUUAGGGCGGAUGAGCGAGAGAGUGCAGGGGUGGGCCAAUAGGGUUUAUGGCUUCGAAAACGACGGGUUUCCAUUUUUAUACGUAAUAAUAAUAAUAAUAAUAAUGAUGAUUAAUUAUACGUAAUUGCUAUUUUAUGCAAUAUAAAAAUAUUAAAAACUAUUUAAUAAUUAUUUUAUGCAACAGUAAAAGUAUUAGAUUUUUCAGUUUGGUGAAAAAUAUUAAAUUACAAAUAUUUGCAAACUAUAUUCUUUUCUUUACUUCAUCUAACGUUGUUUCUUAUGUUCUUUUUGGCAUAACUUGUCCUGGUGCCUAAUGGUGCGCCUAGGGGGUGAUUAGAAAAUAUUUCCUAGUUUUGUCCUUUAUUUGCAAAAGAGGCGUAGGUUAGCUUUAUAAUUCUUUAUUUAAUAGCUUAAUAUAAGUUCUAAUGCUCCUCCUCCGGUUGACCGGGCGAUUUUUCUAGAAGUCUUUCCUUGCAUUUACGUCCCUAUAAAACAUUUUAUUUAUAUAUACACUCUGGAAUGCCUUUCUUUGACUUUAAUUUUGGUCUUCUCGUGGACUUGUUCCACUUGUUCUCUAGGAUCAUCUCCUUUUGGUUUGGAUAGUUUAGAUUUAAUGUUUGAGCAUUUUUCUUUUUUCUUUUUUGUAUUAGAGUCCCUUUGGUUCAAUGUAAAACUGUAAAAUAUAAUUUAUCGAGAAAAAAAUUUUUGGUGGAAAUUUUUUUUACAUUUGAUAGUAUUUGAUUUGUAGAGAAAAAAAUCCCCAUUAAUAUUUGUUUAAUUGAAAGGAAAAAAUAUAUAUCUAUUUGGUUUGAUUGAAAGCAAUGAACGUAAAAAAAAUUUACGCGACUUAAAUUUUCGUUUUUCGUUGAAAAACAGCGAAAAAUAAAAAUUUUAAUUUUUUUUCAAAUUCGUAAAAAUACUUUUAUAAACAAAUAUUUUUACAUCGAACUAAAUAAACAAAAAAAGUAUCUUUCAUAAGAAAUAAAAACCAAGCACUUUUUAGGAAUUAAGUCAUAAGAAAUAAUUAAAACAUAAUCGACACGAAAGAUAUUUUUAUAUUUCUUUACGAAAGAGACUAUCUGAUCAGUUUGAAGCUCUAAAAAUUCAUUCAUGAUUAAAAUCUUUGUUCUUUCUACAUUAUAUAAAAGUUUAGGAACUAUUUUGCCUCUCACUUGACCCAAAAACUCUUCAUAUUUAUUAAACACUUAAUCUCCUUAUUUUUUCCUUUUCAUUUAGAUAUAAAAGUUUCAUCCUAUUUCACUUUCAUUUUAUUUCCAAACUUCUGAUUUCUGUACCCUUUAUAUGUUUUAUUAAGGAGGUUUUGAAAUAGUUUUAUUUUUUUCUUUUGAGGACAAAUAGUUUGAUUAUUGUUAUGUAUUAUAUAUAUAUUUGAGUCGUGUUCAUGUCAACCUUUUCUCUUUUAGUAUCCGUUUAUUGAGCCCAACCUAACUAAUAUUAUCUCAUUAUACAUUAUUUAUUUAUUUUUUUAUGUGUAAGGAAACUAACUAGUCUUAUCUCUUUCCACAUGACGAUCUCUUCUUUUUUUUAUUCUCGAAAACUCUCAUUUUAAAAUUAUAACCAAAUUACAUAAAGUAAUAGGAUGAUGAUGUUUUCAAUUAUUAUUAUCAAAAAGAUUUCUGAGACCACGUGCUUUGACCAUAUAUACAAUUGGUUUUUAUUUUUUUUUGUGUUAUAACAAUCCAAUCCGUUAGCAAUAAUAAAUCGUCGGGUUCAAACUGUCGAUCCAAUUCGCUAGCAAUAAUAACUCGUUGGGUUCAACUUAUCAGUCCAAAAUACUUAAGUUAAAUAUAAAUUACCGGUUCAAAAUAGUAAGCACAGUUAUUAUUACUGGCAUGUAAUGUUGAGACUAUUGGGGUGUUAGAUUCCUAAUUUAAGUGUAGUACUUUGCUCUCACAUUUUCGACUGGUAUUUGUUUCUAAUAUCAAUUAUAAUAAUUUCACCCGUUAGUAAUAAUAACUCGUUGGGUUUAAACUAUCCGUUCAUAAUAUUUAACUUCGGCAAUUACUAAUAACGUGUAGGUUUCAUAUAUCCUAAUCAGAAUCAAAAUUUCAGCAGAUGCGUGACUACUGGCACGUUAGUUCUCAAGCGCCAAAAAAAAAAAAAAGAAAAAAAAAGAAAAAAAAAAAGGGGUAUACUUGCCUCUAUUAGGUGUGCUGUGUGCACCAAUUGUUUGCACAUGAAUGAUUUGGUAAUUUGUGGGGCCCACGUUGUACCCAACCAACAGCUAGAGAGCUGGACCAUCACAUCCUCAUAGAAAGCCAAAUAGUUACAAUUUUUAACUAUUGUCAAAUUACUUCAUAAAUGAUUGAAAUAAUUCUGUUAUUGUUGUUAAAGAGCUUAACAUCUUAAAAUUUUAAACUAACAAGUAAAAUAACAACUUGCUCAAAUUUUUAUACAUAUUAUGCUUUUUUUUUUUUUAGAGAAUAAGGUAGCUUGCUACUCGCUUCAUUCAUUGAAAAUAUGAACUAGGCUACAGGAGUGAGGCAACUGAGCCUCUAAAAAAAAAAAAAAAAAACUCAAGUCAUUUCGAGAGAUGAUUAGUCUACAGCAGUUGUUCCCAAUCCUCCGACAACCUUUUAACUUUACGGACAGCUCCUAGGGGGUCCAGCUAGCUUGUUCUGAAGAUCGCGUCGUUUCUGCUCUCCCAGAUGAUCCACCAACAAGCCGCUAGUUUCGGAAGUCUGGAAGACGUAGAAUGCGGCCUUUUCAUACUGGCCCAAUUAUCCCACACCCCUUGGACACCGUCUCCCGAACCCAAAAACUGACAACCCUCCACAGUCAUCACAAAAAUAAAUUUAGCAAAAACACAGGCUGAGAACAAGUCGUCCACGGUCUCCUCUUCAGAACCGCAUAGAACACAAGCCGUAUCACCACUCCAUCCUCUUUUAAUUAGAUUAUCAACCGUAAGUAGCCUCUUUUAAGGGCGAGCCAAUAAAACACCAUCACUUUUAAGAAAACUCGAAGCCUCCAAAACUUAGUUGCGCGGCCAUCCCUCGUGCCUCCAUCCGUCAACAUAUUGUGUUUUUUAAUACAUAUUUUGUGUGUUCGUGUGGUAAUAAUGGAAAUUGCUAAAGCCAUUGUGAAUUUGUUCUAGCUUCUAGAUACCCUAUUGCAUCCACCACAUUUUAUGUUUAUGUUUACUUUAUUAAUUAUUAAAAACUCCUCAUUUUCUUCACCAAUUACUUUUCUUUUUUUGAAUCUUAUGUUACUGCAGCCAGUAUGAACCUUAUACGGACAUGGCCACAUGGGGCCACUAUAAAUGUUUAAAUAAAUGGGUACUUGUCGUUGUCUCCAUUAUUAAAUUGCCAUAUAAGUAACAAACCGUAACUCAACCUUCUAUUUAUGCAGGGACCAAGCCCUAGCAAAACAAGCUGGAAUAGUGUAGGCAAUGGAGAUGAUAUGAGCCAUGAUUCAGGUGUUCCAUAUGAAAUUAAUAAUAAUUUUAAAAUCUAAAAUUAAAAUCAUUUUUAAUCAGCACAUUUACGCAUGUCAAAUUGAAUAUCUGAUAAAUCUUUUUGAAAAAACAAAAAUUAAUUGUUAGAUAAAUCGAUUGAUUAUUAUACAUAGCAUCCAAUAAACAAAGCAUUUGUAACGUAUAUGCGAAGUUUUAGUUUGGUGGGUUACAUUAUAUCAAAAUUUUGUGGUAUUUUUUAUAACAUAACAUAGCAUUAAGAUAACAAAGGCUAAAGAACAAAAGGUGAAAUACGUCACCGGUUUCUACUCCGUUUUAAAAAAAAAGAAGGCCCACCUAAUUGUGAUGUACCUAUAUAUAUUUUAAUUUCCUUCAUUUUCUUCCUAAUCCUGCGGUAGUAACAAGGGAUUCAUCUUUGUAACCCAAGAUUCAAGAUACAGAGAGAACCAUAUUUAGCAACCAAAGAAGUAGCACGCCAAUGUGUUAGUAGUCAAUAAAUCGUAUCUAAAUGCUUAAUGGUGAGAUUCAAUCUAACUGCUUAUACUUUUGUUUCUCUUUACUGUAACGAAUUCCUGAGAAAGAAUUAUAAAAAUAUAUGUACAUAUAAUAGUUGAGUUAUAUAUAAGAUUUUUACCGACCGUCCCUAGCGCAAGCGGCAAAGGACUUGAUAAUUGAUACUCGAGGUCCUAAGUUUGAAUCCUAGUUGAUUCACAUUUCUAGCUAAGUUUAUUUCUAAAUGAAAUAAACGAAGCAGGUAGUAUGCUACCUAUCUCUCUCAAAAAAAAAAAAAAAAACGUUAUGUAAAAAGUUAUGUAAGAUUUU
rnacentral:lncRNA from 1 species